CCCUCCCCCUUCCUCCUCCUCUUCCUCCUCCGAUUGGGUGGCUGCCAUUGCUCUCCAGAGUCUCCAAGCUCCAGCUCCCACUUCACCACCAUUCCGCUAGCCAGAGUCUCCCUCUUGAUCCCACCUCGGCUUCGAGUCUCGCAGUCCUCGUCCCGGUCUCUCUCUCUUCUACGUCCGUCCGAGAAGAAUUUCUUUGGGUUGAGGAGGGAGCUGCUGUUCUUGCUAGGCUGGGCUAGGCUAGAUCUGGGGGGAGAGGGUUGGUCGUUGUUCCGCGUGAAAUAUCUGGGGUUUUGCUGCGCUGGAGGUUCUUGCUGGCCAUGGUUUGUCCAGGCAUGCUGAGGCGCAAUCUCUGAGCUUUAUGAAGAUCGCUACUCACCUGCGCCGGUGCUGCUUCCUCCAGUCCUUCUCCGUCGUCUUCCUCUACUACUUUUAUGUGAUCUCAUAAUUGGCCCCUCUCUGAAAUCCGACCUUCCUACUAGUAAAAUCUUUUCUUCUUCUUCUUCUUCUUCUUCUUGCUUCAAUUUCCUGCUUCAACGAGUGAUAAAUAAGAACGGUAGCAGCAGUAGUAGCCAGGUGGUAGUGAUCUCGGUGCCAAGAUGUCGUCGUCGUCGCUGUCGCCGGGAGGAGGCGGGAGGCUGUCGGGCUCGGACGGCGACUCGGGCGCGACGUUCGCCGCCGGGGACAACCGGCGGGAGAAGAGGCGGCUGUCGAACCGGGAGUCGGCGCGGCGGUCGCGGCUGCGGAAGCAGCAGCACCUGGACGAGCUGGUGCAGGAGGUGGCGCGUCUCAAGGCCGAGAACGCGCGCGUGCUGGCCCGCGCCAACGACAUCACCGGCCAGUUCGUGCGCGUCGACCAGGAGAACACCGUGCUCCGGGCGCGCGCCGCCGAGCUCGGCGACAGGCUGCGCUCCGUCAACCAGGUGCUCCGCGUCGUCGAGGAGUUCAGCGGCGUCGCCAUGGACAUCCAGGAGGAGUGCCCGCCCGACGACCCCCUGCUCCGACCGUGGCAGAUCCCCUACCCUGCCACCGCCAUGCCCAUCGCCGCCACCGCCACGCACAUGCUCCAGUACUGAUCCAUCCAGUCAUGAUUGGGUCAAUAAUUCAAGAUCCCCCCUGUAGGAGCUGAGCUGUGGCUGGCAAGAGGAAGAAAACCAAGAAGAGCCGUACUGCUCUCUGCUCUGCUCUGCUCUACUCUGCUUGGCUGCUGCCUUGAGGAUUAUUACCAAAGGCGUAGUUGCUGCUAUAUGUUGUGUUUAUUAUUAUGUUUCAGUAAGUGUCUGUCGUCGUCCAUCUCCUAUGGCUAUUUUGUAACAGUAAUAAGGGUAAUUAUAUGCAUGGUUGUGUUCUAUGUAUCGUGAAUUUGUCAUGAACUAUGCCAUAUGUUAUCAUGUUUGGUUCCGGUCUUCAGUGUAAAUUCUGCUGUGUUUCAAGCAAUAAUAACUCUCUCGAGUGCUCGAUGAGAUUUGACGACAGUAUACAGAUGUUGGUUUCUUGUUGAAUGAAGAACAGUUUGGCCGGUUUUCUGAGCUCGCACCAAAUCAUAUAAAUCUGUGGGCUCAUAUCAAAAUCACAAAUAAGCUGGGAGGCAUCGAAUCAGCUUUGAGUGGAGAGGAACAUCAAGUGCUCAAAAGCAGAGAAAGAUCUUCAGUUUCAAGGUUCCUCCUACAGGAUUCUGUCUGACAGCUCUCUGUUCUGUUCUGUAUUGUUUAUUUUCUUGCAUCUAUUCCAACCUUUGCAAGGCAAAAGCAAGGUGACAAGAAUCAAAUGCUGUACUCAUGUUCCCUCCAAAAAAAAUAAAAAUAGUAGAACUCAUGUCACAACCAUCAUAAGAUAUGUGUUGCAACAAGGAAGAAACAGCAUGUACAUCAUCACCUUUGAUCGGUAAUCAAGCAAUAAUGGUUAAUGACGGAAGUGUAAGCAAGCAGAACGAGAUCCGUCAUCAGAAAACUACACUCGUGACCGCAUACGAAAACGACGGUGAAAGGCAAGGGAAAACCUUAAAAACUUAUCUUGACCGAACCAAAUGACAUCACCAAAUAGAACAGCACCAGUAAUGAUGGUGCUUGUUCCAUUCACGAUAAUAUCAAACAUAAGGGGUAGCUUGUUAGGCAUCCCACCAUUGCACUCAGCCAAAAGGGUGAGCUCACUUCCGAGAGGAUGACAGUGAAACCUAAAUAAAUCAUGUUCAUGUCAGAGGGAAGCCAUCCAAUCCCUGAAUUUGUUUGCAACAGAUAUGAGACAAAGACAUAUUUGAUAUGACGAGAAACUAAAUUCAAAACGGUUCAAUGUUCUCAAAUGGUGGUGUGCUUAUUUUCAUGACAAUCUCCACAGCAAUCACUCUGUCAUGCUCUCCACGGAGUUUCACAAAUUACUGGCAAAACCGAAAUGGCAAAAGACUUCGCGAUGUAGAACUUCUGGUUCAGCACGUCAGAACUACUCCUCAACAACGACGCUGAUCUGCCCCUUCUCGAGCAUGUCGUAGAAGGAUCGGGUCUUCCUCUGCUCGUUCCAGUGAUGCAUCUUCCACAUACCACCAGCAACCAGCCCAAGGGUGAGUCCAAUGAAGAUCUCCUUCACCACGCUCGGCCCCUUGAGGGUCGCAUGUGCAACUCUGCCGCCUGCCAUCUGCUAGCUGUUGGGCUCAGAUGCCAAAAUGCCUGCAGAAAAUGGGAAGAUUCCGUGAGCUGAUUUCAUGGGAACAUGGUGACAGCAUAUCAUCACCAAGGCAGCAGCAAGAUACUUUAAAUAAGUGCAGGCAGGCAUGUGCAAACAACACAAAACAAUGAGGCCAUGAUAUAUGAUUUUUCAUGGCGUCCAAAGGUCACUUGGGUUAAUUGCACAAAAACAAGUCAGUACAAUUUUUCAAGAAGUAACCGAGUUGAGACCGGAAAAACUAAAAUAUGAACCAGGAACUUCCAAGAUUUUGAGUUGUAGAAUUAGUGGACUCAGCUAUGUUAAACCAGCAUGAUUCACAAACAGUAAAGUACGAUAAACAGGCUCUGAUUCCUCAAACUGCUCAGCAAAACCUCUCUAGAGAACAGUAGUAGUUGCAAAAAGAGUCAACUCCCUGCAUUUGCACCCUAGUAUCAUACUAUUCCACCGCCCAACUUUUAAAAAAGGUAUCUUAAGCUGGAGCAGGAAAAAAAUGUGAUACAAUAAAUCGUUCCAUCCUCAGCAUCAAUCAUUGCUUCUUUCAAGAACAAAAAAUGCAUGCAGUGUACCCUUCACCUAACCUGCCACUCAUGCACAGAGGACACAGCGGUCGUAGUCAAUAAAGCAUAAAUGAGGCAAAGCAAUUAGUUGGGAGGAACUUCCUUAUCACCCAUCAUCAGAUUAACCAUAAAUUAUCAACAUCCUAGCAAAUGCAACAAGCACCACUCAAAUUAUGCAUUGUUUCAUACGAAGCACUCGGCCAAAAGAAGAUGGACAAUAACAUUAGGCAUGUAGAAGGCAGCAUCAUAAUUGUAACAACAGGUCAUUUUCUUCAACAAAAUACAUAUUUCAAGAGUUAUGAACUCCUAAGAUCAGUCAAGAAGCAGAUUCACUCAAAUGCAAGAAAUCACAGAGAAAAUAAACAAAUCUUUUCCAGUAAAUAAAGUACCCACAGAAAAGGAAAUACAUUGUAUACUUGAUCAGAUCUAUGAUAAGUUUGCACUUGGGGUGACUUACUUUGAACAUAGCCAUCUUUAUCAAUAAAAGAACUUUUCCGCUUUGGGAUACUGAAAGGACAUGAAUCUAGCUAACAUAUACUAUUGAAUAUAAGCCAAACCAAGUAAUCAAAAUAGAUGAGUUCUACCAACACGGCAAUAUGAUUGUGCUGAUACUUCCAUUAAGGAACCCAUAUCGCCACACCAGCUGAAACCCCACUCACAUAGACCAAUGACAUUUUAUAGAGCACCAUAUCAACAGGUUAUUUCCAAUGCUGAUAACCCACAAAACAUAUAAUGUUACUGCUGAUAGCACGACAGUUGCACAUAUGAAAACAUAUGCAGAUAUAAGACAGUGCCUAUGACAGAUGAAAAAUCUCAUAAGAGUUUGCUGACAUGAAAUGAGAAGACAAUGUACAAUUGUGAUGUGCUAAGUGUAGCGGAGAGAAAUUAUAGGUGCUCUAAAAUUAUCAACUAACUAGAAUCAUCAAGACAGCGCACAUUCACGCAACACCACUCAUUCAUGUGCAUGGCAAAGUCGAAGAUAUAUAUCUGGAACUACACAAGUCACACCACGAUCACUGAGCAUGAUGCAGGUUGCUGAGCAAAUAGAUGACAAAGUUCAUAAACGAUCCGGGAUGUUAGAAGCUACGACAGUGCAUAGAUGGUAUAUCUAACUUCAUAUGUGGAAUAGACGAUGACACACUAGUUAACAUACAUAAUGUGCUAGCCAGGGAUUGCACCGAGCCAAACCAUCCAGAGGCAGCAGCGAUGGCACCACGCCAAAGGAUACCUCCUAAUUCCCAGAUAUAUCAUCUGAUACAUACAUAUUCACAUCUCAUUGGAGCGAACGAUGUUUCUUUCUUAGCCACCAUUUCCCAAUCCAAACCGCAUAUAGGCCUAUGAACAAAAACAUCGCCAAAAGAUAGCAUCGGAUGGGGACAACGCACGCCAUGGUUACGAACACAUGCCGUAUUCACACGAAGAAAAAAUACCCCCCACCCCCCCCCCCCCCCCCCCAAAACAACCCCCCCCCCCCCCACGCGCAAAUCAGACGCAUCCUGCUCCCCUAGAUCAUCGCGUGCCAUCCCAAAUUUCUAGUUCGCCGGCCGAUGCCGUCAACAGCACCACCAGCGAAAUGGAUGACCGAGGCACCGAGCGACCAGAUCUGGAACGGUUCCUAACGAUUUAGAGGGGGAAACCUAGGAUCGGAUCAGCGAGAAGGUCGCGUAGGAAUCGAUUCGUGCGUCAGGACACGGAAACCCGAGGGAUCGAUUGAAUGGAGCAGGUUCGAGCGGCGUGGGAAGAGGGGUCUGACCUUGCCGCCGCCGGAGGAGAAGAGGGAGAAAGACGCCUGCGCCGCCGGAGGAGGAGAGGGAGAGAGAGGCCGAUUUGUUACGGGGAACGGCGUUUUUGCGGAAACGCCCAUUUAAGGGCUGAGAUUCGCGGACGGGCCCGGUCCACACGGGUGGUCUGAGCGAGUGGAUGGAUGGCCCUUCGUCUAUUUUCUCCCUCUGUUCCAUAAUAUAAGUCUUUUUAGAGAUUCCACUAGAAGACUACAUAUUGAUGCAUAUAGACAUACUUUAGAGUGUAGAUUCACUCAUUUUGCUUCGUAUGUAGUCCCCUGAUGAAAUCGUUUAAAAGACUUAUAUUUAGGAACGGAGGGAGUAUGUUGUUAUUUUUCACCGAGCAACCGACCGGAACACUGCCUUUUCAUCAGUUAGAAUUAGAAAGAAUAAAACUAUGUACAAAUGGGAUAUUUAUGGAAAAGAUAUAUGUUGAAAAACUCCCAGAAAAAAAAACAAUCCCAAGCUAACUACUCCCUCUGUUUCUAAAAAUAAGUCUUUUUAGAGAUUUCAUUAGGGACUACAUACGAAAUAAAAUGAGUGAAUCUACACUUUAAAGAAUAUCUAUAUACAUCCGACUUAUAUUUAGAAACGGAGGGAGUACUCAUGAUUCAUGAAGAUGGAAUACUCUAGGUCGGAAGGACGUGCCCUGGUGUUUGUUAUCCUCAAAAGUAAGAUGCUUCACCUUAAGUCCUUAAUGUGUGUUAAACUUGUCACGUUUAAAACCUGUUGAUUUCGUUUUUCAUGCGUUUCACAUGAUGUCCAUUCCGCCUCUUCUUGUGCUUAUUGUCAAUGUACCACAAAAGUACCGCCCCCACCAAACGUUGUGGUUCAACGCCUCAGUCAGAGGAAUGUGGUCGUCGGUCCAAGAAAGGACCAAGUGGUGGACAAUAGUGAUGAAGGGGCAAAAGGCAAAGCACAAUUUGAACCGUCCGCAAAGCAGAGUUGACAGAUAGGCUCAUGGAGCCAACCUUGUUGCUCAAGUCGGUCGGCGGUCAGAAUUUUUGUGUGAAGUACAAGCCAUUUGGCUUUUCUAGAUUUCGUAGGACACCUAUUGAUGUUAAAAUAAAUCAAACAUAUCACGCAAUGGGCAUUUGGUCUAGUGGUAUGAUUCUCGCUUAGGGUGCGAGAGGUCCCGAGUUCAAUUCUCGGAAUGCCCCCAAUUGUUUUUAUAUUUUUUAGCCAUCGUAACACAGCUCCUUCAGAUUUACGAAAGUGAGAAUUGUUUGUGUCUUUUGUUUCUCGCUUCCACAAACACCAAUUCACCAGGCUUUACAGAAAGAAAACUCACCAGGAAAAAUAAAACUGUCUUUGUUUGCUGUCUUUCUAUAUGUAUCUGUAUAAUAUCUACUUAGAAAUCAUCCGGUAACAUCACUAGUUCAGUACAUCUCAACGGUGUAGUAAAACAAACUGGUGCAGUACACGAUAAUCUUUUACGCACAGAGCUAUGUGUAACUAUUUUGUAACUCGCUUAUUGGACCGACAAACAAAUUUGCAUCACCGGGACUGGCCGUCCUCUCUUAUUCUGAAGGUGCAUGAACGAAUGCGGCUGCGAAAAAAAGGAGCAAAUCAAGCGCUCCCGCGGACAGCUUUGUAGCACUCUAGGCUGCAGAGGGGGAGCUUCAGCUUCGAGUCCCUGUACCGGUACGCGUUCGUGCAAGACGGUCCGGCGCACUUCUCACGCGGCGGAGGGUAGCUGGGUGGUGGAAGGCAAAAGUGAGACGAUGUAAUCUGUGGCGCACAUUUGGUGCGGCUGAUUUCUCGAACAUGGGGAGGAAUUGCAAGUAUUGGUUACCUGCAGGGUUUGGAGUUGAAGAUACUUGGGAGGCCUACAUCUUCAGGGAACGUAACCACCGUGCCUGUGGGCCCCAUGACCCACCGGAUAGAGCUCCUGGCAAGUUCUUGCGCUCUGGCUGCCUUCUCCUGAGUAAAAAGGAAUGACACUGUCAGAAGAUAAUUCAGAAGAUGAUGGUAGUAGAGACGCGAGUGUCAUGGGCAUGAUCAAAUGAUGCAAUGAACCUUCUCCUCUCGCUCCUUUUGCUUCCUCUCUUCUUUCUUCUUCUCGGUGUCCAGGCCCAGUAUUUUCCUUAUAGCUUCAGCCUGCAGUUAACACUUUUGAGAACUCCUAGGAACUCAACCUAUUCCAGGAAGUUUAAAAGAGAGUAAGCAAAUGUUUCUCCAACCUCGCUUUCUUUAGUGGCUUUCUCCACUUGCAUCUUGCGCCGCUGAGCAGCCUCCGCCUUCUUCGCCAGCAUCUCUGCAUCAGAGAGCUUUUCCUUCUUGCCUGGAGCCACAGAAAAAUGUUUCAAAUUAAAUCAGCGCAAGACUUCAGUCAAGUUACAACAGGCAACAAGGUAGUAUGUACUUCUUGACGAAGCUGCCGGUAAACCAUCGGGGAACUCAAUGGUACUGUUGCUGUUCCCAUCCAUCCAUGAUUGAAGAGCUCGGCGACGUGUUGUGAGAGGUUCACUCUUAACACUGGCAGACAAUUCAGUGACUGCCUUCUGCUUCUUGUUUUCAGCUUCAAGUUCGUUAUCAGAGGCCAACUCCUCUUCUGCAUUAUCCUCAUCAGCAUCAGUAGAAUCUCUUGACCUUUUCUUGCCAUCUCUAUUUGAUUGGGGUCUAACAAAAUCAUUAUCAACCUCAUAAACAGUGCUCCUGCCCCGGUCUUUCUUGGAGGCAUUCUUCUUAAGGUUACUCCCUCCUUUGUUUUUAGGUUCACGAAUAUGACCCUCAUUAUCAUUAGAAGCUCCAUGGUUUUCAGGAGUACUUAAACCAUAUUCCUCGUCUAAUUCACUGUCCAAGUUGGAUUUCUUAGCUAUCCUUCUACUCUUCCGGACAGGAUCCGAAGACGCUUCUCUCUGAACUUUGGCAGGUUGUUCCGGAGUCAAGGUAUCUUCAAUUUUCCUCAGCUUUCUUGUUUUCUUGUCUUGAGAAGAGGGCAACCUAUUUGAAUCUUUGACACCUUCAGUCUGAAAGUAAUUCAUCGUUUUUAUUGGGUAUCAAUUAUGAAUAGCAAUUUGAAGCAAAUAAAGGGACAAGACGUGCGGAAAACCCACAUAACAGAAUGACUUGCAAAAUACUCACUUUGUUUUUAUUUACUCUGCAUAUUAGAUUUAUCUCAAGUCAAAACUUGUAAACUUUGACCAAGUUUAUAUAAAUUUAUUAACAUCCACAGUACCAAAUAAAUACCAUCAGAAUUCUCAUUGCAUAUAUUUAUGCAUCUUAUAUACUAUUUGUUAUUGUGAAAGUUUAUAUUAUUUUCUAUAAAUUUGGUCAAACUUUAUACAGUUUGACUUAGAUCAAAGCUAAUAUGCGGCGUAAAUAAAAAGGGAGGGGUAUAAUCAGAAGUUCAGAACAGGUAUAGUGCCAAGAUUAUGAGACAAAAGAAAUAUCUUGACAGAAACUGCAUGUGUAUGUCCUGAUAACACCAACCAGUUUUCCUUGCAGAACUUGAAUUUAGCAAGCUAGCAAAUUUUCUUCUGUCCAGUCAAGAUCCUUCUUUUCAGGUUUCAAGUACACUACGAAACAAAAGACACUGAUCACUUGUUGUUUACCUGAUUACCAUGCUUUUGCCGGUGCAAUGAAUGUCCUGGCCGUGUAGACUUUGCAGCUGAAGACCUGGAAUCUGGUAUGGCAGGGUUUGGUUUUGCCGGUAUGGUCCGACUGAUUCCACCAAUUUUGAGUUUCACUUUCCUUGGUUUCUGUGUGGUUGACAAAUCAUCAUUCCCUGCCGACACAUGUAUCCCAUGAUUGCUUUCACCCUUUCUUGAGUUACUUCCUGAAGCCUCAGAAUGCAACUGGUGGCUCCCCUUGCUCUUAUGUGAGUUUUUCAAGUUUGGAGGGGACAGAACACCCUCGGUGAUACGCUUGGAAGCACGGUCCAGGGAAGGUCCAUUCAGAUAAAACUCUCGACGUCGGGGUCCUCCGUCAGAGGCAACAUUGUCAUCUGAGGGCAGCCUCUUUGAAUUACUCCUAGAUGACAUAGAUGACAUAGAUGACUACUUCACAGCAGGAUUGCACUCUGGCCUGGGUCUCCUCGUUGUGCUGGUCCAGUGGAUAUUCUAACCAAAUAAGACAACACACAUAAACAAAAGGCAUGUCUUUACUGGAAAUGUUGAGUGUAAGUCGAAAAUGUUGGGAAAAUAUAUUGCAUGAUGCCUCUUAUGACUACAGAAUGUGAAGCUGGCAUCACCACAAUGCUGCAAGCUCAAAAAUAAUGGUACUUAUAGGGAAGGUUAUUAAUUUACAAUAAUAAUAAUAAUACACAUAUUAUUUUUUAAUGGCUCGUGCCUCCUUUUCUUUUUGACUAAAAAAUCUAGCGGAGGCCCCAACAACUAUGCAAAAGAUAGCAAAACUCAUGUAGGUAAGAUUCAGGACAAGAAGCAAACCCAGGCCUUGAAUGGUGCCUUAGCUAUUCUUAACUAGGAUUUCAAGGAUGUAAGGUCAGGGACAACAAUGUCAGAAAUCUUUGCAUUUCUUAGCUAGCAAACGUUCCAAACAGCGAUGGUGAGUACCACCAUGAAGUGUGGCAUGUGGAAAUGAGAAUGACCAAGGUUAAAGGACCACUCCAAGAGUUGGGCCAGACAAUGCUAAUAGCUACUGUUAUGUGUACGCAACUUAAAUAAAACUUUACAUGGACAUGGAACGCGGUUAGAAUUUAUUACCAUCACCUAUCUUUAAACUAGAGUUUAUUUCUAGAGUAAAAUCCAUUCACGGUACUCAAACUUAUACCAGGAGUUCACUUUGAUCACUGCACAUAAGAAGCUAGUCAAUACGGCUAUGUACACAUCUUGAUGAUUAUACGGUCACCGCCUGAACUUAUAGCUCGUAUUUUAUCUAAGUUGACCGGCCAACUCUCCACCCCACGCAGGUCCCACCUGUCAGUAAUUGUAAGAAAGUAAUAAAGAGAAGAAUAAAAAUUUGCUUCAGUGCGGAUUCGAACACAAAACAUAACGGCCAUGUUCGCACGAGACAGCCUACAGACCCAACACGCUUUCUACUACACAUUAGAGCGACUUGCUUUUUAUUCGUAUAUAAGAACACACGCAUGCACGCAGACCACGCAUCAUGACCGCACGCGCACAUAGGCAUGCACCGGUGGUGGCCUGACACAGGCACGCACGCGAGCAUGACGCGCACACACACAAUCGCAGUCUCUGAAUUUUAGAAUUAUUUUAGCCCGAGAUUUUCAAACGAAUUUUGAAAUUCAAAAUUAUUGAUUAAAAAAAAUCAAAAAUAUUUAGCGCAAAUUAUGUUAUGUUGAACUCAAAUUUUGCAUGAACUACUUGAUGGUUAAGUGGUCAGCAUGAGUUAGUUACUUAUUAUCGAUGGUGGCGAGUUCGAAUUUUUUAAUAUAACGCACAACGGCCAGUAUUUUUUAUGCUCAUAUAACGCCAAAAAGAAAAUGAAAAUUGCAAGAUAGUGCCUCAAACUUAGGCCGCCAAGAUGAUAGGCUGCGUGUCCUACGGCUAUGCCAAUUGCUGAGUUAUGUCAAAACAUGUAUAUGAAGCAUAUUUGACAUUGCUUGGUCGUCUAAAUUAAAAAAAUGCAAAUAUUUUGGCCGGUCCUAAAAGAAAAAAACUAGUGACAAUCACCCAACACACACAGCCGAGCCCGAUGCACGCACACAUGCAAAACCAGAGCGAGCAACCACAUGAACAUAAAAAUACCUGGUGGUAAAACUGAGAUACACAACAAGUCAGCAACAAUGUUAAAAGAAACUCAACGGUGUAUCCCUUAUCAAAAUUUGUAGAAUGGAAUAGUUGAUCAACAAAUUAAUACAUUUAAGAACAUGUCGCUAAACUUAGUUAGAGUUGUGACUUGGAGUAGAAUAAAUCCGAUGCUCUCCCCGCUCAUGUUCUCCCCCCUCAACCUCAAGGAUGAAGAACAGUCUCAUGAAUAAGUUGUCAAUAGUCUCAAUAGAAAAAAAUCAUGAUAUAUGUACUGCAUGAUGUUGAUUACUUGAAUAAAAGUCAAACAGAAAAAUAUAUUAUUGCACACAAAUCAAUCACCAGUAACUCAAUUCAUGAUGAACCUAGCAAGAAAUGAAUCCACAAAGUUGAUCGUCCUUGAAUUCCUAGCAAGCAACUUGUAUUGACACCUUUAAUUUUAUUCACGAACAAGCAAAAAGUGAAACCACAAAGUUGAUCAUUCUGGAGAACCUAGAAUAUUAUUAGCUGACGAAAAUUACAAAAGAUCAGGACCCACAACUUGUUUAGACACUCUUAAUUUUGUAAUAAGCAGCAUAACAAUUGUUUUUUAGCUACUUCCCAAUUGUAACAUAUCUUCUUCACAAAUGCAACAAUAAACUUGUUUAGCUACUUUACAAUUGUAACAUAUCCUCUUCACAAUUAUAAUAAUAAUGUAAUAUCAAGUUCAGUCAGCAUCAGGUGAUUAGCUACAAUAACGUAAUGGAUAGGCAUCAGGUACUUUGUACUGAUUAACACAACUGAAUUAUGGGCAAAAAUUACGGUGGUAAAGGACAAUAGGAAUGGUUGGCUAGUUAGCUGCAGUGCAGAAAAUAACAAUAGCAAUGUUACAAGAAACUCAAUGAUGUAUUCCUUAUUAAAAAAAUAGAAUGCACCAGUUGAUCAACAAAUUAAGACAUUUAGUUAGAGUUGGACUUGUAGUAGAACAAAUCCAAUGGUCUCCCUGCUAUCGUUGAUGAAGACGAGCCUCGUGGAUCGCUUGUUAUAGUCUCAUAGAGAAAAUCAUGAUAUCUGCACUUCUUGCUGGUAAUUACUUGAAUCAAAGUCAAACAGGAAAACUAUAUUACUGCACACAAAUCAAUCGCCAGUAAUUCAAUUCGUGAACAACCUAGCAAAGAAUGAAACCCCAAAGUUGAUCGUCAUUUGAAUUCCUAGCAAACAACUUGUUUCGACGCUUUUCAUUUUAUUCGUGAAUAACCUAGCAAAAAAUGAAACCGCAAAGUUGAUCGCCCUUUGGACAACCUAGAAAUAUCAUCAGCCGACGAGAAUUCCUAAAGAUCAGGACGAACAACUUGUUUAAACACUCUUAAUUUCGUAAUAAUAAGGUCGUUUGUAUGUACUUCCUCCGCCAACUCAGCGUAGGCACCUAGAUUUGUUGGUAAAUUACAUUAGCCCUAGCCCCUUGAAACACAAGAAACAAGGUGUAUGUAGCGACUACUACCGAAACCUUCAGCGGGUAGGGUACCAGAUGAUGAAUAAAUAUACGAGAGGCCAGGGGANNNNNNNNNNNNNNNNNNNNNNNNNNNNNNNNNNNNNNNNNNNNNNNNNNNNNNNNNNNNNNNNNNNNNNNNNNNNNNNNNNNNNNNNNNNNNNNNNNNNNNNNNNNNNNNNNNNNNNNNNNNNNNNNNNNNNNNNNNNNNNNNNNNNNNNNNNNNNNNNNNNNNNNNNNNNNNNNNNNNNNNNNNNNNNNNNNNNNNNNNNNNNNNNNNNNNNNNNNNNNNNNNNNNNNNNNNNNNNNNNNNNNNNNNNNNNNNNNNNNNNNNNNNNNNNNNNNNNNNNNNNNNNNNNNNNNNNNNNNNNNNNNNNNNNNNNNNNNNNNNNNNNNNNNNNNNNNNNNNNNNNNNNNNNNNNNNNNNNNNNNNNNNNNNNNNNNNNNNNNNNNNNNNNNNNNNNNNNNNNNNNNNNNNNNNNNNNNNNNNNNNNNNNNNNNNNNNNNNNNNNNNNNNNNNNNNNNNNNNNNNNNNNNNNNNNNNNNNNNNNNNNNNNNNNNNNNNNNNNNNNNNNNNNNNNNNNNNNNNNNNNNNNNNNNNNNNNNNNNNNAAAAAAAAAAAAAAAAAAACUCUCCUCAGGAAAAGGAAAAUAGAGACCAUUGUAAAAAUUUCCUUUUUGGGUAGGAAGUUGCAACGUGAACCUGAAAAUAAUAUUCGCUCCGUCUCAAAAUAAAUCUCUCCUUAAUAAUAAAGCAUCGAUGGCUUCUGUCGUUCGUCAUGACAGUUUUGCAAAAACGUCCCCCUGUUUUUUAAAUCAACUCGCGGUCCUCCAUUAAAUGGAAAAAAACGUUUUGUUUUUCAAAAAAGCCACUGUCCUCCACCGGUCCAGGGAUGGGUGGAUCCGACCUGGCUAAGGAGGAGGUCGGUCCGUCGACGGCGGCUCCGACACCGACGAGCGUCGCGGCGGUGGUCAGAGGUGGAGGCGAGGCCGAGGGGCGCGUGGGGCGGCCGGAUCCAUGGCGAGCCAGGCCGGAUCUGGCGGCGGGCGCAGCGCACCAUGCGGCGGGGCGGCGAGGCUGAAAGCGACGGCGGCGGCAACGCAGUCGCGCGAGGCGGCGGCGUCGGCACGCGGCGGUGCACGCGGCGGGUCGGCGAAGUGCGGUGGAAGGAACCGCCCGGCCGGGGCGGCAUGGUACGGCGGCUGACGGGAGGAGAGGGGAGGUGAGGCGGCGAAGGAGGAAGAGGCAGGUAGCGGCGGCGUUGCAGGUGGGCAGGGAGGAUAUCUGGGAGGGAAGGAGGCGACGACGUGCGAGCUGGAGGUUUACGGCAUCGUCGUGCGAUAGGGAGGGAGAAGCCUCGCCCCUGGACCUGGAGGAAUGGGGAAGAAGAAGGACCCAAAAUUUUCUUGGAUGCCUGGACCAUAUGAUCCUCGAUGAAGGGCCUAGAUUCUUCAUGUCAAGACGGCCUGUCAUUUACAUUCUUUUUUGUUUUCCUUUUUUUCUACUUUAAAUAAUUUGGGGCUUCAUAAAAAAUUUUGAAAAUUUAAGAAAGUGGGAAUUUUGAAUAGAAUGUUUAAUAAAUUAUAAAAUGUUUGUGGAUUCAAAAAUACUCGCAAUUUUGCAGAAAAUGUUUGAAAUUUUGAAAACAAAUAUUCAAGAAAUCAAACAAUGUUCAUGAUUUUUUUAAAGUUCAUGAAGUACUUUUUAUAAUGAAUUUGUGCAAAUUUUUGUCAAUUCUAAAAAUGAUUAUGAAUGGAAAAUAUUCUAAAAGCUCAAAGAAACAAUGGUUUGUGACUUAUAAAAUAGUUUUUCAUUCAUAAAAUGUUUGCUGAUUUAAAAAAUAAUCACCCAUUUCUUUGUCCCGUAAAAUGUUUGCUGAUUUAAAAAAUAAUCACCCAUUUCUUUGUCCCACUGCGACGCACGGACCUUUUUACUAAUGUAAUAUAAAGUUACAUUAAAAUUAAGACACUUAUCUUAAGACAUGCGGAGUAGUUCUCCGUCCAAAAUUUAUAGGCGGAUACAUCAAAUCCGACCCAUUAAAUGUCCAGAGACAUUGACCAUUUACACGUUAAAUAAUCAAUUUCAAUUAGGAAAUCUUAAAUCGCUACAAUUGCAUAUAACAUGAUACAUAAUUUAAGUGACGCUCGUGCGGCUUCGUUGUGUUCAUGUUCGGUGGGUAGCUGCGUCCUUCGAAGUGUUGCUCGAGUCGCGUGCAAGAUAGACUAGGACACUGGGCACACACUAGCUCAUGGGACUCGAGGAGCCGCCGUCUCACAUGCCCUACUCUUUCUCCUUGGAGCCUGUCGUCUUCACAUGGCAUGUGAAUGUGAGAUCGAUGACAUAUCUAUCGUGGUCUCAUGCCACGUCCACCACAAUACGGCUGCAACCCCCGGGGUUGCAGGCCAUCCAUCCAGACACUAGAGAGUGCGACUCUGCCUUGCCGAACACUGUCACAACCUCCUGCUCCCUCUUCCUUGCACCACGGGCACGUUGUCCCAUACUCUCAACCUCAACAUCGGCACACCAACAAAGGUAUUACGCGUCAUCCACGACGAUCGGACGCCAAACAAAGCGCACCGCCUCCGGCGAGGCAGCGAUGACCUGCCUCGUCAGAUCCACACACCAUUUGGGUGGAAGCGAUGGAUUCACAGCGGAUUGAGUUUCGGGGGACGCAAGAUGGCAGGGCCUACAACCUCCAGCUCCUCGAGGAGCCCGACAGGCGAAGGAGCAACUCGACUAUGGAAGGGCGAUUUCACCGAAUGCGGACGUGGCGGAGCAGGCAGCACUGCUCAGUCCUAUCGUCUCGCCCGCCAGAUCCAACUCGACCGCUUGCGGUACCACCGGUGUCAAAGGGAACUGAAGGCCACCUACAAGGAGUUUGACGAGGCGGCGAACAAGGUGUGAGGCAAGAGCGACGACCAGGAGGACAUCGCCUGCUCCGCCAAGGCCCCCCUCCCCCUCCCCCGUCGCCACGACCAUAAAGCCGACACGUUCGCGGGCACCGCCGAAGUGAUGAAGAGUAGUGCAUGAUAGGUAGCCGCUGCUCAAGCUUGAUGGAUUGAUAAUCGUCGGUCGAUUAGCCGCUCAAGCUGCAACAACGGGGGCUACUCAGAAUGAGUCGGAGAAAGUGAAGGCAAGUCCGAGAGCUUCAAUCCUCAUGGCUCAUCGCAGUCCAAUGAAGAACAGGCAUCGACGACCAUUUAGAUUAGGAAUUAAUUAUACCUUUAAAGUCGGACGAGUUCCGCUUUUAGUUGAAGUAUGUCUGAAAUGUAAUGAAUUCUAUCAUGUUUAAAUGAAAAUCGUGUUCUUUGCAUGAAUCUCUUCCAGUUUAUUUGAAAAUUCUCCCGGUUUGCACGAAUUUUGUUUGGUUAGUUCAAAUAGUUGUUGAAAUGUAUGUGUGCAUCGUUGAAUGGGGGGCUCCGGCAUCCGUCCACGAACAUGAAUUUGUGGGUCGCCGUUGGUGAUAACCUAACGAUACAUGAUGUGAUCUUGACAGAUGCAUUGUGACAUCCCUCGAUUAAGCUACAAUGAUCAUUGUAAUUAAGAUGCAGUGAUGGUCAAGAUUAAACUAAUGCUUUUGCUAAAUAGUGCUUGAUCAAUUUUAGAAUCAUAUCUCAUUCCAAAUUCCCGUUAAAAUCCAAAAUCCAAAUAAUAAGUGGAUUAAAUAUUUUGUCAAAUAUGCAAACUAAAAUCAUGGUUGGAUUGCAAAUAUUCACCUAGUAAUUAUAAAAUAUGAGCCAACAUUUUAGCAAGUAUUUUGCUGCCUCAAAAUAAUUAUAACAGAGGCCAAUUCAAUUAUUAGAUCCUCUUUUUAAUUAUGAAAAUUCCAAAUAAAUUCCAAAUGGCUGCCAAACCUUUUAUGGGAGUGCCAUAUAUUGCAAAAGGAAUAAUGAACCAGAUCCACAAUUUUACAAAAGUUAUUUUAUUACUAAAAUAAAUAAAACAUAAAACAAAUAAAAUAGAAAAAGAAAAAGAAAAGAAAUAAAACUAAAUGGCCUAAGUGCACUGUGCACUUAGGCGAGACGACCCUGCGUGGUGGCCCAGCCCUCCUACCCCCUUCUCCCUCCUCCUGCUCACUCGGGGCGACGUGUGCACGACGAUGGCCGCAUCGGCCGCCCUUGUCGCUGUGGCGCACAUCCCGCGGCUCCCCCGCACCUACAAGGUCGCCCAGAUCCCCUUGAACCCUAGCCCACCCCCACGUGUCCCCCUCGCCCCGUGCUCCUCCCCACGCUAGAACCAGUGCCACCGUUGCCAUGGUCACCCCUGCUCGUGCUCUCCUCGGCCUCCCCUUCACCUAGGACUGUGCUUGGAGCAUCGCACGCGUGAAAAGACCUCGAUGAUGCCUAGAGGGGGGGGGUGAAUAGGCUAUUUAAAAACUUCUUCAGAUUUGGCUUGAACCUAAUGCGGAAAUAAACUAAGAGGGUACUUGUCAAGCACAAAUCCUAAAUGCACUAGGCACUGCAACGUGUAUCAACAACACGAUCUACCAAGAUGGACACAAUACAGUUACUAACAAGCACAAGUAAGUUACACAAACUUACUUGAGCUAUAUCACUCGACAAGUAGGUGAACAACGCAAGAUACUAGAUCACACUAUAUCAACACAAUAUAUCAAGGGCUGCAAGUAUGAACGUGUGGAUAUAGAGGGUAUGCUUGAAUGAUUAAUCUUGUACAAGAAAUAGCCAACACAAUAUAAUGAGCACAACCAAUAUGCAAUGUAUGUAUGCUCAAAUAACACAAGUAAACCACAAGUAAGGAGUUAGGGUUAAGGAUAACCAAGGUCACUGAGACGAAGAUGUAUCCCGAUGUUCACUUCCUUGGAGGGAAGCUAGUCACCGUUAGAGAGGUGGAUGUUACCACGAAGGCACACCAACGCCACGAAGGCUCACCCUAUUCUCCCUUUGAGAUAACACCACGAAGGCGUUUCUCAACCACUAGUGGUAAGCCUUUGAGGUGGCUUCCAAACCCUCACAAACUUUUCCGGGGGAAAUCACACGAAUUGAUUCCUCUCCGAAGAACUCCUACCGCCUAGGAGUCUCCAACCUCCAAGAGUAACAAGAUCACGGGGAAUGCUCAAAACUUGCUCAAAUCACAAAUAGCUUGGGUUGAGAGAAGGAGAGGGAGACGAUCUAUCUUUUGAUUGGAACAACUCUCAAAGGGGCUCACAAAUGCUCUUGGGAUCUAAGAUUUGGAGUGAGCAAAUGUGUGUGAGGUGGAAAUGUGUUCUUAUGAGGAUAAGGCUGUGUUAGGCAACCCUCUCACGAAGUAGGAGGGGGGUAUUUAUAGUGAGGAGAGAAAAAGAGCCGUUGGGGACACUUUAAGUCACACAGGGUCCGGACGUCCGACAGUUGUCGGAAGUCCGGGCUUCCGCGAGGGGUCGGACGUCCGACAGGGGUCGGUCGUCCGAGGCGUGUAGAUACGACUGAAACCAUUUUGAAUUAAACAGCGACCGGACGUCCGACAGGGGUCGGUCGUCCGAGGCCUGUGGAUACGACUGAACCUAUGUUGAAUUUAUCAGCCACCGGACGUCCGGAGAGGACCGGAAAUCCGAGUUAUACAACUCAACUUCUACUGGUGGUAGGUUCCGGAUUUCCGACGGGUGUCGGACGUCCGGCGCUCGGACGUUCGGAGGGAGCCGGAUUUCCGAGAUAUAGAACUCAACUUCUACUGGUGCAGGCUUCCGGAUUUCCGGGACUUGGCCGGACAUCCGGGCUAGCCGGAAGUCCGAGUUAUAUGGCUCUGAUUUCUCUAGUAUAGGAUUCUGGAUUUCUGAACUAGUCGGUCGUCCGGUCCUCGGACGUCCGGAGAAAGCCGGGUGUCCGAGGCAUUGGUUCUGUUUUGAGAUAACAACAAAACAGUGGAGAUUUGGACUGAGCAGAAAGUGAUGAUGUAGUUUGAGCAAGUUCAUCGCAAAACCUGUGAUCCCCUCUUAAUAGUGCGGGAUCCCUAAGGACUCAAGAAUCAUAAAAGAGUACUGAUGAUCCAUACUUGAGUGUAUACUUUUAUUCGCUGAUCAUCACUCCGCACCACUAACGUCAAAGGAAACUGAUACCUUUGAGUUAGCCCUUUCACGUGAGCUUGAUGUUGUUGUUCCUUCUUGGCUCAAGUUGAAAGAAAGACAUGAUGAAGUCUUCAAGUAGCUUUCCCAUACACAAUGCGGAAAGCCUAGCUUAUGUAUUUAUCUUCAUUUGUCCACCAUGUGAACAUCCACAAGAAUCAAGCAUGUAGUGCUCAAGAAUGCUUAUCUUGAUCUUGUCCUUGUUAGCACAUGAGAUUGUCCUUAUCAACACAUGAUCAUUGACAAUAGUUUCAAUGAUAUAUUCGUGCUGAUCCACUUGAACUUGCACACCACAAUCUUGAUGACGAUCACCACUUGACGUCAUCCUUCAUGGGUUGUAUGAGAUCUUCCUUUUGACGCAAGCCCAAUGGAAACACACCUAACCCCCACCUAGGAGUCUCACAAAGACCAUGGGUUAGUACACAAACACGUAAUGGACAGUGCUUACCAUACCAUGGGAUCACUUGAUCCUCUCGGUACAUCUUAUACGCUUUGUGUGUUGAUCAUCUUGAUUUACUCUUAGUCUGAGAUCUUGAUCAACCUAGUGUUUCUAUGACCAUUCUUUGGAUAACACCUUGAAUAACAUCUUGGUCAACAUAUAAACUCCUUGAACCCAACAGAUGGACUUCAAGAAGUGCCUAUGGACAAAUCCUAUAAAUAUAACUUAAGGCAACCAUUAGUCUACAGGAAUUGUCAUCAAUUACCAAAACCACAUAUGGAGAUAUAUGCUCUAACAACGUGUCUUCCGCUUCGACUGGGAGGGGCUGGACGACAGGAGUUGCACUGAAGCGAGGGAUUCGAGCCAGUCUUCUUCCUUUGCCCGCUGGUCGUCGCCAGCGAAUCCGUCGACUCCGAGCUAUCCCUGGGCCCACUAAGCGCAUGUCCAGGCUCGCUGUAAGCCCGUGCUCCACUUCCUUCUCUCUCCGAGCUUGCGUGUGGCCCCUAGCCCCUUUUUUCUCCAUGGCCGAAGCUCGCCGCCGCACGAGCUCGUCGACGGGCAGCCUUCGACGACCUUUUGGUUAUGCGCUCGCCAUCACUCAGCUCUCCGCGUCGCGUAGGUCUUCCCUAGAUGCUUACGCUAGCAUGUUGUAGCGCCAUCCCCGUCGUAGCACGACCCCGGUCAUCACUAACCUCAUCGCCGGCGAUGCUAGUGUCCACCCCAGGUCCUCCCACUAGUCGGGAUGGAUGCGGGUGUGCCCGAGCUUUCGAACGAGCCCCUCCGCACGCCAAAUGACGCUCGAUCGCCGAAUCCCUACCCCUCCCAUGCCUCCGCCGUGUUGUUUGGCUCGCGAGAGCAACUCCGACGCCGCCCGCCGACGAGGUUUGACCGGGACCACCCUCAAUGCCACUGACCUGUAGCCCCCUAGCCCUAGUUGAUUGGUGGACAUGGUCAACUAUGCUGACUCGGCAGCCCGAGUGGCUGACUAGUGGGCCACCACCUCCUGGGCCAUUAACAUGUGGGCCCAUGUUUAAUUAGCCACUAAUUCAUCUAUUAAAUUAAAUAAAACAGUUAAUUUGCACUAACAGAUAAUGACAUGUGGGCCCUUGAAAUUUGACUGGAGGCGAGCCCGGAUGCAGAGAUAGAUGGAUGAAUGGUAUCAAUUUCCACUUUGAGAUUGUGUGGUCCGCCUUUCUCUACUAUGCCUUUUUCGUGAACUACUAAAUGACUCCUCUUGCUCCAAGCUCCCUUUUGUUGCCUUCUCGUUCACAUCCUCAUUCAAUUGAAACAAGCUCUGAAAUCAGUUUGUUGCCCUGCAAAGUCUUUGACCUUGGGUAUAUGAGUAGGAGACUUAGGACAGUAGCGUCGAUAGACAGUAGGGCAAGCUGUCGGAUUGACAGACAGUUAUUAGGAUAGUGGGUAAGCUACUUAGGCUAGGGAAUAGGCACACAUGGGUGAGAUACGCGGGCAAGUCUCCUGGUCACUCCUUCCAUGUCGGAGAUAUGGUUUUCUUAAAGUUAAAGCCAUAUGCUCCCAAAUCUCGGUGGCACAGCGGGCUAACCACAACCCUUCCUUCCGAUACUUUGGGCCUUACAAGAUUCUAGAUAGGUGGGGCCGAGCUGUCAGGUUUGAUCUGAGACAACUAUGUUGACUGCUGACAUCACCCUCAUGUCAUGCUGAUGCAAUAAGUGAAUUUUUUAAUUUAAAUACAUAUAUAUUAAUUUCUGAAUAUUAUUAAAACUUUGAAAAUAAAUAUAAAAUAAUCUACAAGUCAGAUGAAAAUAAUUUAGAUAUGAAAGCUGCUCAGAAAAAUCCCACGAAUCCGAAUACGAUGUCCGUGCAUCCGUCACAUGCUCCUAGCAUGAUGAACAUGAACAUUUUGUCGUGAGGAUCACUUGCCCGGUAGUAGCCAGAGACUCGGGAAAUAUCGUCGGAUAUGUUCCCGCUCCGUCCAUGACAUGUAGUACUCGUUAGCUCAUCCCUAGCACUGCAUAUUGCCAUGUCAUACAUCGUGAUGCACCUGCUUGCUUUUAUUUAUUAUUUCUGCCCCCUCUUCUCUUCAGUAGACGCUGAAGUUGAUGUUGUUGUCGGGUACGACUACCCCCCUGACGAUCAUCCUUUUGCAGCAGAGCAACAAGGCAAGCAACCCCCUUAAUCAUCCAUAUAUCGCCCGUUCUUUCUUCCUCAUGCUUGCAAUAGAUUUUGCUACUCCUAUAGAUAGCUCCUAUUCUAAUGCAUAGCUUGCUUUUGUUAAACUGUUGUUGUACCAUAUUAAAUAUUAAAUGCUUAGUAUAGGUUGAUUAGUGAUCCCCAAUGACCCCACUAGCCCAGUUGCAUGUGCUUCAUCGUCGAAGACUCGAACACUCGAUCAACUGAUCGAUAAGCCAUGACCCAUCACAUUACUUCACACUCCCCUUAGUUGCACGACUCUGCAGAGCUACUAUCGAGUACCAAGGGUGACGCCUUGUUAUGUACUCCUGAUGUUAUCUAUGUAGUGUAGUUAGCGAGAGGUGGAUUACGGAGGGUGAUUCCUCCUUCACCACCUCUGAUAACGACUAUGUCGUGCAACCCCUCAAGCAUGAACCAUCAAGGGUGAUUCCUCCCUGAUCACCUUGACGGUUAUGUCGAUUGGAAUCCGUCGAGGGUGAUACCUCGGAUUCCUCUGAUGUUAUAGACACACUGUUACUUUCACUUACUACUAGAACAUGAUGAAAUGUGUGGUGCGGGUGGAUUCCCGCGUAAUUGUGACGAGGCAUGGCCGAGCAUUCUUGGCCCUUGCCACACAUCCUCGAGACGGGGAGAUGGGACCACAUAUUGUGGAUCGCUAAUUGUCGCUGUAGUUAACAAAACAUUAAUGGGAUUGAGUAUUUGAUCUGAGUUGGUCGUUUGACCUUUUUCGCACUAACCUUCACGCGGGGCAGUUAUGGGCACUUAGUGUUGUGGUAUCGGCCGAAUCUCUUCGAACGUCAGCAAUGGAGUGGCGUGCGCCCGAGUGGUCCGUGUAAGCAUUGAUCUUGUAUAAGAGUUGACAUGACUGACCUCGACUGCCCUCGCAACAUGCAUGAGUGCAAAGGGCGAUGGGCCCAAGACCCUUGCGCUUAGGAUUUAGACCAGCGGGUUGGCUUAUCUGUUGAGCCUAGUUAGGGCUACGACAUGUUGAUCUCCCCAGGCCGGGCAUGACCUAGGAAAGUGUGUCCGACCGGAGUUUAUCGAGUGUGUUAGGAAAUGUGGUGCACCCCUACAGGGAUGAAUUGAACUAUUCGAAUAGUUGUGUCCAUGGUAAUAGUACGACUUGGAGUUGUAUCCCGAUCUAAUACAACUAGAACUGCGACUUAACUUCAAUGAUUCGCUUCGAGAUUGCUUUCUCGCAGGGAGUCGAGGAAGGAUCUUUGGGCGUGAUUUAAUAAAAUUGCUGCAACAAUAUGAUUAUAUAUGUGUUACUGAUCUGUACGCUUCUAUUGCUGCAAGACACUGAAGAUGCUAGUCUUUGAUAGGACUAGGCCUUCUCUCUAUUGUGACAUUUCUGCAGUCAGUCCAAAGAUAUAGACCCAUUCAUUUGAUAUUGAUGCAUAACUUAGCAUAGUUCUCAUGUCAGUCUUGUGAGUACUUUGGAUGAGUACUCACUAUUACUGUCGUGGUUUUGUCACGGCAGAUGUCCUCGUGAAAGGACUUAGUGAUGGAGCCAUCGCACCUUGGUGGCGACUCAAAGGGGGUGAGAAGAAGCGAGACUCAGGUUAUCCCAGGUUCGGCCCCUCCUAUGGAGGUAAAAGCUUGCGUCCUGCUUUGUGUAUAUUGAUGGUGGAUUCGAUUACAAGGAGGGUGUAACUCGCCUGACCUAGCUCUCGAUGGAUUCUAACUUAACCUAUCUGCCCUAGAGACUCGCCUUUAUAUACAGGUCGAGGCCCUAGGGUUUACAAAGUCCUGGCCACAUUACAAAUCGUGGGCUUCCAUAUCUCUAAGCCGCCGUGUCUUCCAAGCUAGGAAACCUCCUCGGCGACGUAUCUUCUCCGUUAAUCUUGAAACGCCAUCUAGCUCAUGGGCCUUGGCCGGCUCUUCAUUGAAGUUCUCGUGAUGCAUCUCAGACCCUGGGCCAAGGCCUAUCUUGAUCAUGAAUGUUGAAUCGCCGUUUACCUGACCCGGCCCAAUAGGGCGGGUCAUACCGCAGGUAAUAUCUCCAACAUUAGGCCCAAGAUUGACUUGAAUUUGUUCACACCAAUAAACCUUCACGCUUGUCUAUGGUGAUUUACACACGAUCUCUGGCCUUUCUUCUUCAUUGAGUGAUGAGCCGCCAAUCUUCAUGGAUCGCCUGAGUCGCCAGGUCUUUAUUGAUGAUGUCAUCUUCUCCACUAUUCCAGGGAUCUUGAUGACAUCACUUCCAACGAAUCUUUGUCAUAUCCUCUUAUCCCGAGAAUCUAGGCGCCAUCAUUUCUGAUUUUUAAUGUGCCUCCUUGACUCCCGCGCCUGCCAUUUCGAUUUCUGCCUUAGGUCUUUAAAUAGCCACAGGGGGGAGAGGGGCAUCCCCACCUACCUCUAUUCCAUCGCCUCCACUGCGUCUUUUUCCUCGAGCUCGUGUCGCGAACACCGUGCCGCCACCGAACCUCUGCUUUGGACCGGUUGCUCCUCGGGAUGAUCUAGGGUGUGGUCUUCGGUGUAAACCUCCGCGGCCUGCUUCCAUCGUCACCUUCCCUCGGCAGGUAACUCCUUCUCCUCUAGUAGAUCUAAAUCUCGAACCUCCCCAUUUCUCAGGGUAGCACCGAAACUCCAUGAACAUUGGCUCAUCGCACCAUCGACCCGUAUAGGAACGAUCUUUAGAUCCUUCUUUUUAGCAAACAACUGCGGUAGUCCCGUCAACAAUCCUAGGUAAAUCUGUUGUUCCCCCAUUGUUCCAACAGGACCACCACACUGCUCCAUGAUACGUCUCCAUCGUAUCUACUUUUCCAAACUAUUUUGCCCUUGUUUUGGACUAUAAUUUGCAUGAUUUGAAUGGAACUAACCUGGACUGACGCUGCUUUCAGCAAAAUUGUCUUGGUGUUAUUUUUUGUGCAGAAAUCAAAGUUCUCCAAAUGUCUUGAAAAUUUACGGGGAGCAGUUUUGGAAAAUAUAAAAAAUAUCUGCGCAAAGUUCCACCUCAGGGGGUGGGCCAGUGGCCCACAAGACAUGGCUCCGCCACCACCCCCUCGUGGCGGUGGGUAGGCUUGUGGGGCCCACACGGCUCUGCCGCCCCCAAUUCCAGCUCUAUAAGAUCCCUUUCAUCCGAGAAAAAAUAAAGAGAGAAGUUUUCGUCGCUUUUUUGAUACGGAGGCGCCGCCACCACCUGUUCUUCAUCUGGAGGGCAGAUCUGGAGUGCGUCUUGGGCUCCGGAGAGGGGAAAUUGAUGCCAUCGUCAUCAUCAACCUUCUUCCCUCUCCAAUUCCAUGAAGCUCUUCGUCGUUCGUGAGUAAUCUAUUCGUAGGCUCGUUGGGCGGUGAUAACUAGGAUGAGAUCUAUCAUGUAAUCGAGUUAGUUUUGAUGGGGAUUGAUCCCUAGUAUCCACUAUGUUCUGAGCUUGAUGUUGCUACUACUUUGCCAUGCUUAAUGCUUGUCACUAGGGCCCGAGUGCCAUGAUUUCAGAUCUGAAAUUAUUAUGUUGUCACCAAUAUAUGUGUGUUUUAGAUCCGAUAUUGUAAGUUGUAGUUACCUACUAUGCGUUAUGAUCCGGCAACCCCGGAGUGACAAUAACCGGAACCACUCACGGUGAUGACCAUAGUUUGAGGAGUUCAUGGGUUCACCAAGUGCUAAUGCGUUGGUCCGGUUCUUUAUUAAAAGGAGAACCUUAAUAUCCCGUAGUUUCCUUUUGGACCCCGCUGCCACGGGAGGGAUGGACAAUAGAUGUCAUGCAAGUUCUUUUCCCUAAGACGUAUGACGACACAUGGAAUGCAUGCAUACAUCACAUUGACGAACGGGAGCUAGCCACAUAUCUCUCCGUGUUAUAGUUGUUGCAUGAUGAAUAUCAUCCAAACAAAUCACCGACCCAUUGCCUACGAGUUUGUCCUACUGCUGCUGUUACUUGUCUUGCUCUGCUACUGCUACUACUGUUGCUACUGCUGUUACUUGUCUUGCUUUGCUGCUGCUGCCACUGCUGUUGCUACUGCUGUUACUUGUCUUUCUCUGUUGCUACUGUUGCUACUAUUGUCGCUUGCUACUGCUGUCACUACUGCUGUUCCUUGCCACUGCUAUUGCUCGUUACACUGCUACUACCUGCUACACUGUUGGUUCGCUGGCCGUUGAAGGGAAUUGACAACUUCCGUCAACGCGGCAACAGAGGCGCCAUUGAUACAAUCGUUAGGAAUAGUCUGCCGUCAACAGAUCGUUUCUGACAUCGUUGUUAUCAUACUACUUUGCUGUUACUACUGUGCUUGCAGAUACUAAUCUUUCAGGUGUGGUUGAAUCCGACAAAUUCAGCUGCUAAUACUUGAGAGUAUUCUCUCACCUCCUGCGGCUUAUCAACAAAUUGGGUCGAAUACUUUACCCUCGAAAACUGCUGCGAACCCACGCGCUGGUGGGCCAUCAACAACAUUCUUCUAGUCUCAUUACUGGGGAGUGCUUUCAGCAUUCUUCUGGUGCCGUUGCAGGAGAAGGUUUGUUGUCAUAAGCAUUCGUCUAGCUAGCGCCAGAGAUUGCAGAUCACUCCAUAGUGUCCCCGUGUUCUUAGUGCUUUUAUUUCGGCAAGUUUAUUUUCCUCAAUAGAAUCACCCGUAGACCCGUGAACUUUGUCUUGGCAUUAGAAACCUGUUUAUCCUUGAUUAGAAAUAUCCUAAGGAAAUUUUUAGAAUCACAACCCGCCCUCAAUACUGCGGCGAGUCACAAUUCCCUUUUAGACAUGCUCUCAGCUGCUGGCAUGCGAGUUACCAUUUCGUAGGUCCUGACGACCCGCCAACCCUUCUUACGCAGAUCUCCGUCCCCCUUCUUUUAAGCUCAUAAUCAUGGGUUCCAUCUCUAAGUGCAACUGGUUUCCAGCAGAAGUUGAUGAUGCCUAUGUUGCAAACUUUGUGAAAGUGGGCAAUCUUGCACCUAAAGAAACGAUCGGCCGGCGAACCGCCCUAGGAGAGCAGCGUCCACAACCCGCCGAAGGGGAGGUAGUCCUUUUUGCUCAUCACCUCGAGCGAGGCUUCACACCACCCGACUCAAAGUUUUUUAGGGAUGCCUUGCAUUUCUUCAACCUCCAUCCCCAAGACUUAGGGCCAAACUCCGUCAACAACCUUUGCCAGUUCCAAGUGUGCUGUGAGGCUUACUUGCAGAUAGAGCCUACUGUACUUUUCUUCAGGAAGUUCUUUUAUCUGAACCGCCAAACAGAGUUUGCCAACGGGCCCUGCCUAGAGCUUGGGGGAGUCAACAUCUAGCGACGACGAGAAUGCGGGUUCUCGGUUGUUACAUUGCCCAGUCAUCCCAAGGGUUGGGAAAAAACUUGGUUUUACUGCAGCGACACUUCUCCACCCAACGAGAACCCCUUACCAGGUUUCAGGGAGGAACAUCUGCCCAUGGAUUUCAAGUUGCCUGAAAAGCUAACUAAAGAAGAAGAAGCUUCAUUUGUCCUUGUCUUCGCAAAGCUCAUGGCUCUUACCGUCAAUGGUCUUACCGGGAUCGAUCUGAUCCGCUGCUGGGUGGAGUGGAGAAUCAUACCUUUGAGCCGCCGGAACGGCUUAAUGUGUGAAUCAAUGGUGACCUAAACCACCCUCAAUGCUUCUAUAAUGUGAGGCUUGAAGAAGAAGAUAUUGUUGAAAUUGUGAAGAGGCUAAGUGGUGAGCCUGUUGAGAACUGCUCCAAAAUCGGGCUAAAACCUUUGUGCGUUUCUAACCCGGCUCCACAGGUAAAACAUCCCAACUCGCCCUUCUAGCUUUUUAAUAUACUCACGCUUGUUUCUGAUCUAGGCUUUAAUUAUGUCAAUCAGAGGGGUUCGGCCUUCUGGAACCAAAGUCCCAAGACAGUCAUCAAGAAAACGACCAAACCCGCCCCGAAGAAAAACAAAAACAAAGGCAAGGCCACUGCAAAGGAGUCAUCCUUUGUGGGCGAGUCUCGGGUCGCCGAAGAACAAUCAGAGGUAAAUGCUCUUUGUCUUUAUUGCUUUAAUCUGACUUUUACUCAUGCUUUGUUGCUUAUAUUUAUAGGAUGAUGACUUUGAAAGCCAAGAUGAAGACGUCAAGGUAAUUUCCAUUUCUUCUGACUCAAACUCUUCUCCUCCCAAGCCGGCGAGAAGAAUCUGUAGGAAAGUUCCCCUGCCUCACCCGGAUGGUUAUCUCGAUCCCAUUUUCCUUUUGAAGAAAGCGAGUUUUACGCCCAAGUGUCAUACUCGAAGCCACUCCGGGGACCUUUUGUCCGUCUUGCCCGAGAAAACAACUGGUCGCAAACGACAGAACGAGGUACAUUUUCUAAAACGUCCUUUCUUCCUGUGCAAAUCAUUCUCGCGAUUUACCCAAUCGUUCAAUCCUUCAUCCAACAGGUUUCACCUCCUUCAUCUGGCGACUCAGUUGCCUCGACUCUUCCCCCAUUGAUCCGUCUUCAGGGGUAAGUUCUGUCAUUAACAUGUUCCUUCGGGUGUCCAUGUUUCUAUUUUAACAUUUGUACCAUAAUUCCAUAGGGCUCAAGCAAAGAAGAGGAAAGCCGGCGAGUCAUCUUCAGCCCCCAAGGCGGCUGAAAUAUUUGGAACGAGUACCACUAUCCCGGAAGCUCAAGACGAGCCAGCUGAGACUCAUGCUGAUGCCUUUGAUGAUUUUCUUGACAUCCCGGGACGAGCUUCCAAGUCCUCAAAAGGAGUUAACUGAAGAGCUCAACCCGCCCAGUUCUCAUAAGGCGGUUGAAGACGUGAUACCUGACCUAGAUCCAGUCGUCGUCACUCGUACUAGUUACUCUAAGCCUACAACCGCGAUUUUAACCAAGCAUGUACCCAAAGACACCUUAGUCUUUGCAAAAAAAGACAUCACAAAACUGAAGCUUCCUGAUACGUCUCCAACGUAUCUACUUUUCCGAACUCUUUUGCCCUUGUUUUGUACUCUAACUUGCAUGAUUUGAAUGGAACUAACCCGGACUAACGCUGUUUUCAGCAGAAUUGCCAUGGUGUUGUUUUUGUGCAGAAAUAAAAGUUCUGGAAUGUCCUGAAAAUUAACGGAGAAUUUUUUUGGAAUUAAUGAAAAAUACCCGUGCAAAGAUCCACCGGAGGAGGUGUGCCAGUGGGCCACAAGCCCCUGGGCCACGACCACCCCCAAGCCGCGCCAUGAGGGCUUGUGGGGCCCACGUGGCUCCACCGCCCCCAAACUCAGCUCUAUUUAUUCCGUCUCGCCCGAAAAAAAAUCAGAGAGAAGGAUUCAUCGUGUUUUACAAUACGGAGGCGCCGCCACCUCCUGUUCUUCAUCUGGAGGACAGAUUUGGAGUCCGUUCCGGGCUCCGGAGAGGGGAAAUCGUCGCCAUCGUCAUCAUCAACCUUCCUCCAUCGACGAUUCCAUGAUGCUCUUCACCGUUUGUGAGUAAUCUCAUCGUAGGCUUGCUGGACGGUGAUGAGUUGGAUGAGAUCUAUCAUGCAAUCAAGUUAGUUUUGACGGGGAUUGAUCCCUAGUAUCCACUAUGUUCUAGAUUGAUGUUGCUACUACUUGGUUAUGCUUAAUGCUUGUCACUAGGGCCCGAGUGCCAUGAUUUCAGAUCUGAACCUAUUAUGUUGUCGCCAAUAUAUGUGUGUUUUAGAUCCUAUCUUGCAAGUUGUAGUAACAUACUAUGUGUUAUGACCCGGCAGCCCCGGAGUGACAAUAGCCGGAACCACUCCCGGAGAUGACCAUAGUAUGAGGAGUUCAUGUAUUCACCACGUGUUAAUGCGUUGGUCCGGUUCUUUAUUAAAAGGAGAACCUUAAUAUCCCGUAGUUUCCAUUAGGACCCAGCUACCAUGGGAGGGAUGGACAAUAGAUGUCAUGCAAGUUCUUUUCCCUAAGCACGUAUGACUACAUACGGAAUACAUGCCUACAUUAGAUUGACGAACGAGAGCUAGUUACUUAUCUCUCCGUGUUAUAGCUGUUACAUGAUGAAUCACAUCCGGUAUACUCAUCCAUCACCGAUCCACUGCCUACGAGUCUUUUACUACUGAUCCUUGCUAUGUUACUUUGCUGCUACUACUGUCGCUACUGCUGUUACUCUGCUCUUACUUGCUACUGUUGUUACUCUGCUGUUACUUGCUACUGCUGUCACUACUGCUGUUCCUUGCUACUGCUGUCACUACUGCUGUUACUUUGCUGCUACUUGUUGCAAAACUUUUCUGGAGCCGUUGCCGGCAAAGAAUAGUUCCCCGUCCAUGUGCUAUUUACUGGCGCCAUUGAUACAACAAGUUAGGAAUAGUCUGCCGUCAACAGAUCUGUUUCUGGCACCGUUGCUAUCAUACCACUUUGCUACUGAUACUUUGCUUGCAGACACUAAUCUUUCAGGUGUGGUUGAAAUUGACAAACUCAACUGCUAAUACUUGAGAAUAUUCUUUCGCUUCCCUUUGUGUCGAAUCAAUAAAUUUGGGUUGAAUACUCUACCCUCGAAAACUGUUGCGAUCCCCUACACUUGUGGGUUAUCAAGACCAUUUUCUGGCGCCGUUGUCGGGGAAGCACAGCUAUAUUCUCUGAGUCACUUGGGAUUGACAUCUGCUGAUCACUAUGAGGAAUCCAAAAGAUCCAAGAACUGAAAUCUUGCCUUCCACUACGAGGAGAGGUAAGGAACUGCCAUCUAGCUCUGCACUUGAUUCACCUUCAGUUUUGAGUAAGUUUGCGACAUCGUCUCCUGCUAGAAAUCUUGAUAUGUCGCCUGUGCUUGAUGAUGCUACUUCUGCUACCCAUGAUGCUAUGCUUGAUACUUUGCCUGAUGAUGCUAUGCUUGAUACUAUGCCUGAUGAUGCUAUGCUUGAUACUAUGCCUGAUGAUGCCAUGCCUGAUGAUGCUAUGCUUGAUACUUUGCCUGAUGAUACUAUGCCUGAUGAUGCCAGGUCUGAAAAUCGUGAUGAAGAAAUUGAUGAAGUGAUUCACGAGGGCUCCUUGAAUGAAAAGCAUGAUUGCAAUGGUUUCACUAUAAAUUCUAUUAGUGACAAUCAUGCUAAAAAUAUGCAAAACCCUAAGCUUGGGGAUGCUAGUUCUGCUAUGUCCACUACUUGUUGCAAUGAUCGUGAUUGGGGUGAAAUUUUUUCUUAUGAUCUUGAAAAUUUGUUUAAACCUCAUGAUGAAUGUGAUAUUUGCAAUAUUAUUGAAAGUGGGUUUGGAGAAGUCAUGACUUUAGUUGAUGAUAAUCCCACUAUUUUUGAAGAGCNNNUAUUUUUGAAGAGCGUCAACUUUGCAUGCAUGUGGAUCAUGAAAAGAAUAUCCUAUGUGAUAGUUACAUUGUUGAAUUCGAAUAUGAUCCCACAUGUAAUUAUUAUGAGAGAGGAAAAUAUGAUGGUAGAAACUUUCAUAUCACUAAGUCACCUCUCGUUAUGUUGAGAUUGCUCUUGUCUCUUUCUUCUUCCUUGCAUAUGGUAACUAUUGGUUGUCUUGACAAUCUGUUUUCCUAUAAAAUGCCUAUGCAUAGGAAGUAUGUUAGACUUAGAUGUGAUUUUCACAUGCUUUAUGAUGCUCUCGUUGUGCUUCAGUUCUUGUCUUUUGUGUGAGCAUCAUUGAAUUAUCAAUGCCUAGCUAAGGGCGUUAAACAAUAGCGCUUGUUGGGAGGCAACCCAACAAAUCUAUCCUUUUUCUUUCUGUUUUGUGUUUUCCACACUUUCAUAAUUCUGUUAUGAUUGUGUUUUUUGUGUUUCUUUUGCGUUUGUGCCAAGUAAAACCGUUAUGAUUAGUCUUGGGGAUGAUCGUUUGGUCAUGCUGGAAAAGACAGAAACUUUCUGCUCACGAAAAGAAUUUUCAUUUUUUUUGUAAGAGCUUUUGAGUUGAUUCUUUUUGCUGCGGAUUUCUACGCAAAUUCUGCAGACUUUCAUAAUUUUUAAGAAUUUUGAAGUACCAGAAGUAUACGAAGUAUACAGAUUCCUACAGACUGGUCUGCUGUUAACACAUUCUAUUUUUGUUGAGUUGGUUGCUUAUUUUGAUGAAACUAUGGAUAUUAUCGAGGGGUAUUAGCCAUGGAAUAUUGAAAAAAAGUAACCCAACAUCAACAUAAGUAGAAUUUAAGUUUGCUAUAGUACCUAAGGAAGUGGUGGUUUGCUUUCUUAUACUAAUGUUAUCACGAGUUUCUGUUUAAGUUUCGUGUUGUGAAGUUUUCAAGUUUUGGGUGAAGUUCUUAUGGACAAAGAGAUAAAGAGUGGCAAGAGAUCAAGCUUGGGAAUGCCAAGGAAACCCAAGUUGAUUCAAGGAUGCCAUAAAAGCCUAAGCUUGGGGAUGCCCCGGGAAGGUAUCCCCUCUUUCGUCUUCAAUCCAUCGGUAACGUUACUUGGGGCUAUAUUUUUAUUCACCACAUGUUAUGUGUUUUGAUGGGAGCGUCAUGUAUCGUAGGAGUCUUUUAUUUUUGUUGUGUCACAAUCUUCCUUGCUGCACACCUAGAGAGAGAGACAUGCACUCACCGUGAUUUUGUCGAGCUUCACUUAUAUCCUUUGGUUAGACAAUUCAGCUCACAUGUGUUUCACUUAUAUCUUUUGAGCUAGUUGAUUUUGCUCUAUGUGUUUCACUUCUAUCUUUUAGAGCACGGAAGCGCGUGGCGUGGUAGUUGAUCUAUGCUAUGAAAGUAAUCUCAAAAGGGGUAGUUAUCCAAAGGGAUAUGAAAACUUCCACCUUCAUGUGCAUUGAGUAGUUAGAGAAGUUUGAUUCAUCUCAAUUAGUUUUGAGUUGUGGUUGUGGUAAUAUUAAAGUUAUACUAGUAAGGUGUUGUGGAUCUAGAAAUACUUGUGUUGAAGUUAGUGAUUCCCAUAGCAUGCACGUAUGGUGAACCGCUAUGUGAUGAAGUCUGAGCAUGAUUAGUUUAUUGAUUGUCAUCCUUUGUGUGGCGGUCGGGAUCACGCGAUGGUUUAUACCUACCAACCCUUCCCCUAGGAGUAUGCGUUGAAUGCUUUGUUUCAAUUACUACUAAAACUUUUGCAACAAGUAUAUGAGUUCUUCAUGACUAAUGUUGAGUCCAUGGUUUAGAUGCACUUUCACCUUCCACCAUCACUAUCUUCUUUAGUGCCGUGCAACUUUCGCCGGUGCACAAAACCCACCAUAUAGCCUCCCUCAAAACAGCCACCAUACCUACCUACUAUGGCUUUUUCAAAGCCAUUCCGAGAUAUAUUGCCAUGCAACUACCACCAUGACAUGUGCCACCACUUCUACAUUGCCAUUGCAUGAUCCUAAGAUAGCUAGCAUGAUGUUUCCAUUGAUGUCUAUGUCAUUCUAGAUCAUUGUCACGGUACACUACCAAAGGCAUUUCAUAUAGAGUCAUCAUUGCUCUAAGUUUUGAGUUGUAAGUGUGAUGAUCAUCAUUGAGGGAGCAUUGUCCCAUGUGAGGAAAUAAAAGAGGCCAAAGAGGCCCACAAAAAUAAAAAAUAUAUAUAUGUAAAAGAAUAUAAAAAAAGAGGCCAAAGAGCCCACCAAAAAAAAUGAGAGAAAAAGAGAGAAGGGACAAUGCUACUAUCUUUCCACACUUGUGCUUAUUAAGCACCAUGAUCUUCAUGAUUGAGAGUCUCUCGUUUUGUCACCACCGUAUAACUAGUGGGAAAUUUUUAUUAUAUAACUUGGCUUGUAUAUUCCAAUGAUAGGCUUCCUCAAAAUUGCCUUAGGUCUUCGUGAGCAAGCAAGUUGGAUGCAAACCCACUAGUUUUCUUUAAGAGCUUUCACAUACUAUUAGCUCUAGUGCAUCAUUUGUAUGGCAAUCCCUACUCAUUCACGUUAAUAUCUAUUGAUGAGCAUCUCCAUAGCUCGUUGAUAUGCCUAGUCAAUGUGACCAUCUUCUCCUUGUUUGCCUUGCAACCUCCACCACACUCCAUUCCACUUAUAGUGCUAAAACCAUGGCUCACGCUCAUGUAUUGCGUGAGAGUUGAAAAAGUUUGAGAAAGUAAAGGUGUGAAAACAAUUACUUGGCCAAUACCGAGGUUGUGCAUGAUUUAAAUUUGUUGUGCAAGGAUGAUAGAGCAUAGCCAUACUAUAUGAUUUUGUAGGGAUAGCUUUCUUUUUGGCCUUGUUAUUUUGAAAGUUCAUGAUUACCUUGCUAGUUUGCUUGAUGUAUUAUUGUCUCCACGUCAAUAGCAAACUAUUGUUUUGAAUCUAAUGGAUCUGAACAUUCACGUCACAUAAGAGGAGUUACAAAGGACAUCUAUGCUAGGUGGCAUGAAAGCAUCAAAAAUUCAUUCUUUUUCACUUCCCUACUUGAGGACGAGCAGGAGUUAAGCUUGGGGAUGCUUGAUACGUCUCAAACGUAUCUAUAAUUUUUGAUGGUUUCAUGCUGUUAUCUUGUCAUAUUUGGAUGUUUUAUAUACCUUUUAUAUCUUUUUUGGGACUAAAUUAUUAAUUCAGUGCCAAGUGCGAGUUCCUGUUUUUUCUUUGUUUUUGACUCUUUUCAGAUCUGAUUCUGGAACAGAGUCCAAACGGAAUAAAAUUCCCAAAAUAAAUUUUUCCAGAACAGAAGAAGAUCGGGGGACUUGAGGGCCAAGGCAGGAGGCCCACACGGAGCCUACAAGCCAUGACGCCGCGGCCAGGGGGGCGUGACUACCAGGCUUGCGGCCUCGCUGGCACUCCCCUGCCCUAGCUCUUUGGCUAUAUAUUCCCUAAAAAUCCAGAAAAAAUCGGGGUGUCCACGAAACCACUUUUCCGCCGCCGCAAGCUUCCGUUUCCGCGAGAUCUCAUCUGGAGACCCUUCCCGGUGCCCUGCCGGAGGUGACUUUGGAGUUGGAGGGCUUCUACAUCAACAUCAUCGCCUCUCCAAUGACUCGUGAGUAGUCCACUUCAGACCUACGGGUCCGUAGUUAGUAGCUAGAUGGCUUCUUCUCUCUCUUGGAUCUUCAAUACAAAGUUCUCCAUGAUCUUCAUGGAGAUCUAUUUGAUGUAAUCCUCUUUGGCGGUGUGUUUGUCGAUAUCCGAUGAAUUGUGGAUUUGUGAUCAGAUUAUCUUUGAAUUAUAUUUGAGUCUUUGUUGAUUUCUUAUAUGCAUGAUUUGAUAUCCUUGUAAGUCUCUCCGAGUCUUGGGUUUUGUUUGGCCAACUAGAUCUAUGAUUCUUGCAAUGGGAGAAGUGCUUGGUUUUGGGUUCAUACCGUGCGGUGACCUUUUCCAGUGACAGAAGGGGCAGCAAGGCACACAUCAUGUUGUUGCCAUCAAGGGUAACAAGAUGGGCUUUCAUCAUAGAUUUGAGAUUGUCCAUCUACAUCAUGUCAUCUUGCUUAAGGCAUUACUCUGUUCUUUUGAACUCAAUACACUAGAUGCAUGCUGGAUAGCGGUCGACGUGUGGAGUAAUAGUAGUAGAUGCAGAAAGUAUCGGUCUACUUGUUUUGGACGUGAUGCCUAUAGAUAUGAUCAUUGCCAUAGAUGACAUCAUGACUUUGCGCAGUUCUAUCAAUUGCUCGACAGUAAUUCAUUCACCCACCGUCUACUUGCUUUCAUGAGAGAAGCCACUAGUGAACACUACGGCCCCCGGGUCUAUUCACAACUAUCGUCUCCACUUUCACUUUUACUUUGCUUUGUUUACUUUUUUCUUUCAGUUCUCACUUUGCAAACAAUCUAUAAGGGAUUGACAACCCCUUCAUAGCGUUGGGUGCAAGCUCUUUGUGUUUGUGCAAGUACUUGUGACUUGACGUGAUCUUCCCACUCGAUCGAUACCUUGGUUCUCAAACUGAGGGAAAUACUUACCGCCGCUGUGCUACAUCACCCUUUCCGCUUCAAGGGAACACCAACGCAAGGCUCCAAGGCCGCGGGGAAAUCCUUUGAAUUUUUGCCAAGGAAGUCCCUAUAGGCGUAGCCCGUAGCAGAAGGAUUCCUGGCGCUGUUGCCAGGGAAGGUCUUUUGUUGCCGUAGCAGGCACCCCCCAGGCCGCGCCAUGAGGGCUUCUGGGGCCCACGUGGCUGCACCUCCCCAAAAAUCAGCUCUAUUUAUUCCGUCUCGCCCAGAAAAAAGUCGGAGAGAAGGAUUCAUCGCAUUUUACGAUACGGAGGCGCCGCCACCUCCUGUUCUUCAUCUGGAGGGCAGAUCUGGAGUCCAUUUCGAGCUUCGGAGAGGGGAAAUCGUCGCCAUCGUCAUCACCAACCUUCCUCUAUCGACAAUUCCAUGAUGCUCUUCACCGUUCGUGAGUAAUCUCAUCGUAGGCUUGUUGGACGGUGAUGAGUUGGAUGAGAUCUAUCAGGUAAUCGAGUUAGUUUUGACGGGGAUGGAUCCCUAGUAUCCACUAUGUUCUAGACUGAUGUUGCUACUACUUGGCUAUGCUUAAUGCUUGUCAUUAGGGCCCGAGUGCCAUGAUUUUAGAUCUGAACCUAUUAUGUUGUCGCCAAUAUAUGUGUGUUUUAGAUCCUAUCUUGCAAGUUGUAGUCACCUACUAUGUGUUAUGACCCGGCAACCCCGGAGUGACAAUAGCCGGAACCACUCCCGGAGAUGACCAUAGUAUGAGGAGUUCAUGUAUUCACCACGUGUUAAUGCGUUGGUCUGGUUCUUUAUUAAAAUGAGAACCUUAAUAUCCCGUAGUUUCCAUUAGGACCCCGCUGCCACGGGAGGGUUGGACAAUAGAUGUCAUGCAAGUUCUUUUCCCUAAGCACGUAUGACUACAUACGGAAUACAUGCCUACAUUAGAUUGACGAACGGGAGCUAGUUACUUAUCUCUAUGUGUUAUAGCUGUUACAUGAUGAAUCACAUCCGAUAUACUCAUCCAUCACCUAUCCACUGCCUCCGAGUCUUUUACUACUGGUCUUUGCUAUGUUACUUUGCUGCUACUGCUGUCGCUACUACUGUUACUCUGCUGUUACUUGCUAGUGCUGUCACUACUGCUGUUCCUUGCUACUGCUGUCACUACUGCUGUUACUUUGCUGCUACUUGUUGCAAGACUUUUCUGGAGCCGUUGCUGGGAAAGAAUAGUUCCCCGUCCACGUGCUAUUUACUAGCGCCAUUGAUACAACAAGUUAGGAAUAGUCUGUCGUCAACAGAUCUGUUUCUGACACCGUUGCUAUCAUACUACUUUGCUACUGAUACUUUGCUUGCAGACACUAAUCUUUUAGGUGUGGUUGAAAUUGACAAACUCAGCUGCUAAUACUUGAGAAUAUUCUUUCGCUUCCCUUUGUGUCAAAUCAAUACAUUUGGGUUGAAUACUCUACCCUCGAAAACUGUUGCGAUCCCCUACACUUGUGUAGCCCCCAAGGGCCGGGUCAUCUUUUUGAAAGAUGAGCCGGGUCUUUAGUUUAUACUUGAAGAAAAGCUUCAACCUAUAGCCCCCAAGGGCCGGGUCAUAUUUUUGAAAGAUGAGCCGGGUCUUUAGUCUAUACGUGAAGGAAAGCUUCAACUUGUAGCCCCCAAGGGCCGGGUCAUCUUUUUGAAAGAUGAGACGGGUCUUUAGUUUAUAUUUGAAGAAAAGCUUCAACCUGUAACCCCCAAGGGCCGGGUCAUAUUUUUAAAAGAUGAGCCGGGUCUUUAGUUUAUACUUGAGAAAAGCUUCAACCUGUAGCCCCCAAGGGCCGGGUCAUCUUUUGUAAAGAUGAGCCAGGUCUUGCUUGAAGGUAUUACCUUAGAAAAAAUGAAUCGUACAUUAGCCCCAAAGUGUCAGGGAUGUUGCUUGCAAUGGUCCUGAAACUUUCUUUCCCUGAUGUUUUUGCAGGAAUCAUUGACUCGGGCUGACUCAAUUGUGGCCGAUUUAAAACAAAGUCUGGCUGAACAGUAGUAUGCUCGAGCUAAAUUUGAAGAGAGGCUUCGCCUUGCACUCGCUGACAUGGAAAAAAUGAAGGCAGAGCACAAAGAGUUUGAAGACAAGGUCCACACCGAGCAAGCUGCCUUACUGAAAAGGGCGGAACAUGCCGAAGAGAAAAUGAAGGCCGUCAUGCAAGAGCUGUCCGGAUUAAAACAUCAUAUCUCAAAGAUGGCCCAUGCUGUGUUCGGUAAGUAUCGAUUAUUUCCUUCUGAAGGCGUAUUGUACGACCUUCCGGUGACUUAUGAUCGUGCCUCUUUACUGCAGGUCCUCGAGCCGCCACUCUUCAGAAUGAUUGUAUUUUGAAGUUGAAGGCAAUCUAUACUUUGACGGAGCAGCUGUACACUGGUAGCGUGAUGACUAUGAAGGCCGUCAUGGGUAACAAAGAGCCCAUAACAUCCAUCAAGCAUAUGCUGGGUUGUUUGUCCAUGCUGCCACCCUAGAUAGAGGAGUUGAAGAGGUCAGCCGCCCGCAAAGGAGCACUAACCGCCUUAAGUCGGUGCUUGGCCUAUGCUCCAGAGCUGAAGCUGGAAGAAAUAACUGGGGGAUUUCCAGAGGUGAAAGACGACGGGUCAGAGUUUACCGAAGAGGAUUACCAUAGUUGUGUAAAAGAAUCUCUCUUCGUGGCGACUCAGCUCGCAGCCGGCCUGGAUUUAGGCAAAUAUCAGGCGGCUUAUGAUGAGCACAGCAAACGGGUUACUCCUCCUUCAUAUGAAAUCACCAUCCUGACUCCGAAGCGCCGUAAGCAUCAUUUUGACUCUGAUGCCGAUCUGUCCACCAUCUUGACUGACGAGGAUGAGUUCCAUGCCUUGACCAAUUGCAAUUGGAAAUUGGGUGAGUUACAAAUCCAAGAUGGCGAAAGCUCGAGGCAGGAUAAUCCGGAGGCGGCUUGAGUCACGAGUGAUGUGAAGAUCACCCGUGGAAUUUAGUUUGAUCAUCCAAGGUCGGGUUAUGUCACCUGAUAUGGCCUUCUAAGCCAUGUAAUAGGCUAGAGAUUGAAACAAUAUUAUGAUAUAACUGUAUCUUGUGCUGACUUUUAAAGUCUCACCCUUUCAUUAAUAUGAAUCGCCUUGCCACGUGCUUUUGCCAUGUCUGACAGAUAAUCUCUUUCCCCGUUUAUCAGAGAAGAAAAAAUAAGCCGACUCAAUGAGUCGCGACGGUUUAGAAUGGAGUUUUUAUGAAACUCUUUGGCUAUGCUACAAAGAUACUUUGUAGUCAUAAAGGUUGUCGGCUCAAUGAGUCACGACAGGGUAGGACGAGUUUGCAAGACUCUAGUGCUACCCCAGGAAGGUUUUGCAAUAGCCUGAGUUGUUUAGACCGGCUUAUCAGGCGCGAGUCAAGCUUCGGUGAAGCAGGUUCAGUGAACCCAUGGUUUGUCUAUUUUCCAUAUGCCGGCUCCUGCUAGCACUGUGACAACCCAAGACCAACGUUCCACAAGAUUCCCCUUUAUUCCGUUUCCGUCGUGUGCUUAUUUUUAUUUGUCGCAUCAUCAUCGCAUCUUGCGCAUCAUCAGCAUUGCAUCGGCAUCCCGUUGCCGCCAGUUUUCAAACUUGUAUCCGUUGUUAGUUGCCGGUUCUCGUCGUUGUCCGUUCGGAGCCCGACCGCACUCGCACGCGCCCGCGGCAUCGCCAAAUCCUUGUUUUUAAAAGUGUGUUGAAAACUUUCUCUGGUUGGGUUGGAACUUGGAGUGCGGUCGUAAUUAGUUGUAGCUAGGCCGCCUGUCAAGCUUCGUCGCAAUCGGAGUCCGUCUAGUACCCGAACGGUCGACCGUAACGGCACUGUAUUAGGUCUAUCGUCGAACGUCUUUCAGUGUUUUAAAUCUCGUUGCCGGGCCGCCCGUUUUCCCUCUCAUCUCUGGUUAACCACUCUACAUGGCCGCUUAACCGUCCCCGCGUUCGAGAUUGUCCGAUUCCGACCGCGCGGUUGGAUCCGGGACGAAAUUUCGCUAAACCUAGCCCCCCUUUUGUCUAUAAAUAGACCCCCAUGCAUUUUAGACAACCCCUCUCCUUCCACCUCGGGAUCCGCGCCCCUCAAACUCUAACCCCAAUCUCUCUCUCCCGUGUCUCCCACCUCCAGCCGCCGGGCCCGCGGAGCCCAUGUUGGGCCCGCCCGAGCCCAUGUGGGCCCGAGGCUCCCGGAGCUCCCUGCAACCUCCUCCUCCCGAGCACCUCGCCGCUGCCUCGGUUCCGCAGGUUCGUGCCGCGCCUCCUUCCUCAACGCCGCCGGCGACCCCGCAGCCUGCCGGGGCCGGCCACCGCAGCAUCCGGCGGCUCGCCCCGCAUCAGUACCUGCCAGCCAUGGCCCCGACCUGCAAGGAGCCGCCACCGCCUGUCUUCGCCCCGCCGCCUUGGUUCCCCGCUUUGCAGCCCUGCCGGCGGUCAGAUCCGGUGGAUCUCGGCCGGAUCCGGUGACCCUUGGCAGGAUCCGGGCGCCCCUGCCCCGUUCACCUUCCCGCCGACGUUGACCUGCCAUGGUUGUCUUUGCUGCAACGUCGGGAGCCGACGAGACGACUCGCCCGAGCGCAGCGCUCCCCGCUCGCCAGCCGCGUGGGCCUCGCCCCAGCCCAGUACGACCCCGCAGCCAGGCCCAAAAACCAGCACCCCUUCGGCCCAGCUACCCCUCCCUCCAGGCCGGCCCAGGUGAGCAGCCCGAGAUCUAUCCCUCCCCAUGUGCAUGAUUGCUAUGUUACGCCUUAGUCUCGGCCCGGUUAGUUAAUUUAGGUUUUUUCCGAUUAGUUAAAAUUCCAGAAAAUAGACGUAUAUUCUAAUGCCCGUAUCUUUUAAUCCGUAAGUCGGAUCGAGGCAUGUAACAUAUGUUUCUUGUGUAGUUUCUCGCAUAGAUUACGAUUUUACAACUUUCCUAAAUGUUUGAAGUAGUUUGAACCGCCAAAUGCAUAGUUUUACGUNNNNNNNNNNNNNNNNNNNNNNNNNNNNNNNNNNNNNNNNNNNNNNNNNNNNNNNNNNNNNNNNNNNNNNNNNNNNNNNNNNNNNNNNNNNNNNNNNNNNAUUUUGAUAUGUUGUAUGUUGUUUUUCCUCUAGUGGUGUUAUGUGAACAUCGACUACAUAACACUUCACCAUAUUUGGACCUAGAGGAAGGCAUUGGAGAGUAGUAAGUAGAUGAUCGGUUGCUAGAGAGACAGAAGCUUAAACCCCAGUCUAUGCGUUGCUUCGUAAGGGGCUGAUUUGGAUCCACUAGCUUAAGGCUAUGGUUAGACGUUGUCUUAAUUCUUCUUUCCUAGUUGCGGAUGCUUGCGAGAGGGGUUAAUCAUAAGUGGGAUGCUUGUCCAAGUAAGGGCAGUACCCAAGCGCCGGUCCACCCAGAUAUCAAACUAUCAAAGUAACGAACGCGAAUCAUAUGAACAUGAUGAAACUAGCAUGACAGAAAUUCCCGUGUGUCCUCGGGAGCGUUUUUCCUCUUAUAAGACUUUGUUCAGGCUUGUCCCUUGCUACAAAGGGAUUGGGCCACCUUGCUGCACCGUUGCUACUACUUGUUACUUGUUACUUUUCGCUUGCUACGUUUCACCUCACUACACCAUCACUUGUUACCGCUACUUUCAGUGCUUGCAGUUACUACCUUACUGAAAACCGUUUAUCAGAGUCUUCUGCUCCUCGUUGGGUUUGAUACUCUUACUUAUCGAAAGGACUACGAUUGAUCCCCUAUACUUGUGGGUCAUCAUCCACCAAAUAGGGGGAGAUUGUAAGGGCAUAUUUCUGCCCGAGUAAUUUUGGUGAUUGAUGACUGUUAGAGCAUAUUUCUUCGUAUGUGGUUUUGGUAAUUGAUGACAAUCCCUAUGGACUAAUGGUUGCCUUAAGUUAUAUUCGAAGGAUUUGUCCAUAGGCACUUCUUGAAGUCCAUCUAUUGGUUUCAAGGAGUUUAAAUGAUGACCAAGGUGGUAUUCAAGGUAUUAUCCAAAGAUUGGUCAUAAAGACACAAGGUUGAUCAAGACUAAGCAAAGAGUAAAUCAAGAUGAUCAAUACACAAAGCGUACAAGAUGUACCGAGAAGGAUCAAGUGAUCCCAUGGUAUGGUAAGCAUUGUCCAUAACGCUUUUGUGUACUAACCCAUGUCUUCGUGAGAGUUUUAUGUGGGGUUAGGUGUGUUUCCAUGGGUUCGCGUCAAGAGGAAGAUCUCAUUAACCCUAUGAAGGAUGACAUCAAGUGGUGAUCGUCAUCAAGAUUGCGGUGUGCAAGUUCAAGUGGAGCAUCACGAAGAUAUCAUGCUUGAAGCUUGCCGUCCAUUGUGGUGGCAAUGGACUUGUGAAGAAUGUGUUGAAGAGUGGCUCAGCCAUAGUGAGUAUGGGGUAACAAUCAAGAAAGGCAGUUGCUGCUGGCUAUGCCUAUAGGGAUUUCCUUGGCAAGUAUGCAAAAGAUUCCCCCGCGCCCUUGGAGCCUUGCGUUGGUGUCGGUGAAUACUCAGAACAUAUGCUAUAGGUAGGCUAAAGUCGGUGAGAACCGAAGGGACAAAGGUGGGCGCUAUGAACGAGGUUGGUACACGCAUGGGACGCAUGAUGUACCCAGGUUCAAGGCACUCUGUAGACAUAAUACCCCUAAUCCUGCCGGAGUGUUUGAUGUAUAGGAACAGAGUACAAUGUCGCUCCUCGAGCUGUGUUGGGAGGAGGAAGAGGGAAGCAGCCGGCUCGUCUCUACCUCUCUCAAUGUGGUUGGUGAAUGCGUAGUGCAGAAUGACUGGUGAAGGAUCGACCCCUCUGCAUGGGGGGCGACCGGGGGGUUUUAUAGACGAACCCGCUGGCCUACAAUAUGGAUAAAGGGUACAAGCGUGGGACCCAGCUGGCUGCUUUGCCGGCUGGCCAGGGGCCCACAAGGGUCUUGUCUUGUCGACGAGGGGCUCCUCGGCUGCAUGGUCUCGAUUGCUGGUGGGACCCGCCGGCUGGCCAAUGAGGCUCUCGCGUAAGGUUGACGCUGAGCACGCGCGGUACGUCAAGCGUCGCCCCGCGAGAUUCUUCAUGGGCAGGUAGUACGAGCGCCUCCACUGUUGCCCAUGCCGAGUGCAGUAAUGGAGUGGGAGUGUGACGGUCCGACACUAUGCUAGGUGAUGGAUCAGAGCUGGGGUAGGUCAGUGGCGUGGCCGCCGACGCUCGUACCUGCCGGAUGCCCUGAUCAUGUACCUUUGCUGACGCGUAGCUACCUUUAAUCGUGAGGUCUCUUCCAGACCUACGAUCUGAUGUGACUUGUGAUCCUCAGCCGGCCAGCCUGCUUGGCCAGCCGGCUUAAGUGUGGUCGCCUCCUCCCCAGUCCGGCUGGCGGGACCAGACCGACUCCGAAGGGGAGGCUGCCAGGACUCUAGCCGGCAGGGGUUGCGUGGCACGCUAGAAAGGUGGCCGCCUCGUCCUCUAGCCGGCACGUGAUGCCUAGCCGGCCAGAAGACUUGGGCUUUGGGAAUCUUCGUACGCUCAUGUCCAUUGGGCCGGAAAUGAAGGAAUAGGCUUGAUGAGCCUACCCCGGGGUUAUCCCACCGACAUUAGUCCCCGAAGCUGGCGAGGUCCACCGCCCGCGGGGGGGGCGGCCUCACCGGCUUGUUAAUUUGUCUUGAUAUUUUGGCUGUUAUUCACGGCGAAGGACGCCGGCUUCGAAACCGGGUGGCUUCGAAGCGACGCCUCGGUCUAGUCGUAAUUGGCCCGGAGAACGCCACGUGCCAGGCCCCGCCUGGCGUAAUGAUGGCGAUUACUGCUGACGGGACCGGGCCUGGGCUCGGGGUCCCGCCAUGACACCCCCUCGGCCUCCGCGCGGGAGAUCCUCUACGGAUUUACUCCACGACGGUUGGGAUUAGGGGAGCGUUACCGCCGGUAAUACACGGGAUUAAUGGGGACCGGUGCGCACCGGAUCCCCUCCCCACGACGCUUCGUGGGGGUUUAAAUGGGACACGAGGGUUUCGAGGAGGCCAUUCGCCCCCUCUUCUCACCCUGCAUCCGCGCUCUCUUCCUCCUUGCAUCCUGAGAAGACGAGCUCGCGCCCUUCGUCUUCUUCAUCUUCGCCGUCGCGACCUCGCCGACCGCUUCGAGCUCUUACCACCCACAGCCAUGGUCGGCAGUUCCUCCUCGAAGAAGUCGUCGACCCAGAAGGCGUCCUUGCAGGGGGCCUGGCUGGGCAGCGACGUCGACGAGGGGCACAUCGAAGCGCUUCGUCACCAUCGCCUGCUGCCCCCGGCCUCCCAAGUUAUGGUGCGCCUCCCCAGCUCCGAGACCGCUCCCGCACCCGCCGCGGGAGAGGUUGUGGUCUUCGUCGAGCACUUCUACCGGGGCUUCGGGCUCCCGGCUAGCUCCUUCUUCGCCGAAUGGCUCCGGUUCUUCGGCCUGCAGCCACAUCAUCUGGCGCCGAACGCCAUACAACAGUUGGCCGCCUUCGUGGUCCUGUGCGAGGGCUUCGUGGGGAUCGAGCCUCGCGUCGAUCUGUGGCGCAGUCCAUCGCCAUGGAGAAAUCCGAGGUGGAGAAGCUCCGGGGGCCGCGCCCCAUGACGUCGUGCGGGGCGGCAUUGGUGCAUCAUCGCCUGAAGUCUGGCUUCCCCCAGAUGCCUCUGCAAGAUUCCAUCAAGCAUUGGCAGAAGGGUUUCUUCUACGUGAAGAGCGCCGGCCCAGCCCAGGACGCGCUCAACAUGCCCCCGUUCGCCAUUGCUCCCCCGACGCGGCGGAACUGGGAUGCGAAGACUCCCAGGCCGCAUCCUGAGGUGGCGCUUAUCUGUGCCCACCUCGACAUCUUGGAGAAGAGCGGCCUCCUCAGCCGCGACCUUCUCGCCACCAUGGUGGUCCACCAGGUUCUGCCUCUACAGAGGCGGCCGCAUCUGGUCUGCCAGAUGAGCGACCGGCUUGAUUCGUGCCGGCUGUCCACCAAGAGGUUUACCCCAGGCGAUGUAGUGCGAAGGGUAAACCCGAUCUCCACCGCCCGCAUGGAUAAUGGUGGGGAAUGGACAUGGGGGAUGUCCCCAUUCAACAGGGCUCACCCGCCUCUGAUGGUAGCUUUACUCCAUUCUUCUCUGUUGUUUUGUCUUGAAGCCGGUGGCGUUGCUAAGCCUUUGGUUAAAUUAUUUUUUGUAGCUGUUCGAAACCCUGCAGGGGUCCCUCCGUCAGCCUGCUCCCGAUGUGGAGGUGUCCCACGCCUCCGAGAUGGAGGACGAGGGCGUGAUGGAGCCCUGCUCAGACUCCUCCGCCGGCUCGGAAGAUCCCCUGGAGUCGGAAGGGACCGAGCCGUCUGGUGAGUACACGCGGCACACCAUAGCUGAAUGGACGGAUGACGACGAGGUAGCCUCAUUCUGUUCUGAUGCAGCCUUCGAGGAAGACUCUGAUGAGGUGGAGGAGGUCACCAUCCCACUACUGGCGCGUGGCCGGCGUCAAGGUGGCGGAGCGACCGCUGCUGACGAGGCAGCCGGGAGGAAGGGCAAGGGUGCCACAGCUUCCCGGCCGGCCUCUAAGCGGCCGGCACCGGGUCCUCCAGCCGGGCAGUGAGCAGGCGGUGCCAAGAGGCGCCGUGGCGGUGGCCGGAGGCACGUCCCUGUAGUUGCGGGGUAUGGUUUCCUCCUCUUUUCCUUCGCCCAUCUUGGAUGAGCUUUGUUCCUUAGGAGCCUUGCUUGACAGGGAGGCGAAGGAUGUAGAUGAAGACACCGCCUCCGGAGCCGAACGGGCCGGCUGGCAGCGGCUGAUGCUGCCGAGAGGGAGCUGGAGAUAGAGUCCAAGCGCCGGUGGGACACGGCUGCGGGGAAGGCCGCCAUGGGUUAGCCUCGCCCUAGCCGGGUCGAGAGGCCGGCGGAGAAGCAUGCGAAGGCUAGACAUGACUCCUCUGCACAUGCUCGUGCGGAGGAGCCAGCUAGCGAGGCCGCCUCCAGGCCGGCCCCAAGGACCGAGGGGGCCCAUCCAUCCGAACCGGCAGCCUCGGCACAGGAGGACCUGGAGACGAUCCCUGAUUCUCCCAGGGCCGAGGCGGCUCCCGACGCGCCGGAGUUAGACCUGGCAGCACCGGACGCGGCCCCUGACGCCCCAGGGGCGACCAUGGAUGCGCCGGUCGCGGCCCAUCCACCUCCUGCGGGGGAGGUAGCGCCGGUCGGGACGGCGCCCGAGCCGGUUGUCGAGCAGGCACCAGGAGCCGACGCCAUCGUCGUUCCCCAACACGGCCUUGUUGCACCAAUAGCCGGGGGCCGGCAUGGGAGCCGGCCUAUGAAGACAUGGCGGGCGGCAAACUUGGCCCGCCUGCGACUGCCCGCUGGCACCGUUCUUUCCGGCGUCCCGGAGCUGGUGACGAUGUUCUCCAGUAGCCGGUCGAAGGUGGAGCAGUCGGCCCGCGUGGUAAUGCGGCGACAUGGAGCGCCUAGAAGCCCGCACCCAGGUAGGCAUUGCCUCUUUUGGUUUUUUGUACUUCUUUUUCUCUUCUUCUUGGCGUUAGUGGGGGCGCGACAGCGCACCCACUGGGUGUAGCCCCCGAGAAUCAGGCGUGUUGAUUGCCAACCGUUCCGAAUCUCUUGGAGGCCUUUUCCCCAUGCGUAGUUUUCUUCAGUGGGGGCACGCCAGCGUACCCACUAGGUGUAGCCCCUGAGAAUCGGGCUGGUUAAGUUUUUAACCAGGUCGAAUCUUAAUUAUGCUCCCCCUUUCUCCCUUUUGGCAGGUGCUUUACGAUGCUCAGGUACAGGCGUACAACGAGCUACGGGACCAACACCUAGGGGACGAUAGCCGGAUUGCCGAGCUUGAAGCCCGGCUGGGCGAGAUCGCCGCGGAGCGUGAUGCCCUGCACGACGCCGGCGGCCGGCUCCAAGAGCAGCUGGACCUUCUUCAGGCGGAGAAGAAGGAGCUUGAGGCGGCUGGCCGGGUCGAGUUGGAGCAGCUGCGGGCCAUGCUACAGGAGAAGGAGGCCUCCUACUCUGCCGACGUGGACCGCCUCGCGUCUCUUUACCUCAAGGAGGUGGACCUCAAGGACGCCGCCUUGAGGGAGAAGGAGGAGGCCCUUGUCCAGAAGAAGACGCAGCUGGCCAAGGCUCUGGAGUCUGCGGCGACCCUCCAGGAGGAAGUCGCCCGCCUUACUCAUGAGACCGACGGCGCCUUCCAUCGUGGGUCUCUCUUCCUUGUCUUAUGUUUGGUCUUUUUGCCGUCUCCUCCUUUUGCUGUGUUCUUACGUCUUGGUUGCCGUCACUCCAGGUCUCUUCCCCGAGACCCAGAUCGCAGCCGACACCACCGUCGAGGUGUGCCGUCCGGCUGGAGUUUGGAGGAGAUUGGGGUGGGCCUUUGGGCCCGCCUGCACGCCCUGGGCGAGUCUGUGGCUCAGCUCCAGGUUGCGGGUUCGUCGAUGGUGGCGGCCUUGUGGCCGGAGGGUGUGGAGCCGGUGUCCAUGAGCCGGCUCGCCCGCUGGCUUGUGGUGGGUGGAGAGCGCCUGGAUGCCUGGCGUGCCUCCACGGCGUGGUGUGGGGCUUAUAUGGCCCUGCGCUUGGCCAAGUCAUGGUAUCGGAACCUGAACUUGGGAAAGCUGGCUGCCCAGCGCGACGGCUCGGAGGCGGAGCUGCAGGGCAUGGAGGAGGAGCUCCGUGCAAGAGCCAGCGUCGUCGCCGAGUACGCAGCCUGGGAUGACUUCGUCUUGGAGCGGGGUGAAGAUGGCGGUGUGAUCGCUGAAGAUCCGCACGGCCUUUAGCCCUAUGACGCCGACGGCAGCUCCGACAAAGCGGUCCGGGCUGUGGAAUCUGUUGCCGCCUCCAGCGGUGCGGCGUAUGCCGACUCCGGGAUUGGCGGAGCCAGGGGCCUCAGCGGGGGAGACGACACAACCACCUCGGGAGCAGCCGGAGGCGGUGAUGCUACCACAUCAGGAGCAGCAGCCGAGGCGACCAAUGAGGUCGCUGUCCCGUAACCGGUGUCCUUUUGUGUUUUUGGUUCUACCCCUGGAGGGAUGUAAUGAACGUGGGCCGUGGGCCAAUGCUUUGGUGAAUGUAUAUAUUCAGCAUUAUAUUCGUCACCAAGCGUGUUGUCUUAUGAUCCUGUCUUUUGAUUCCUGGUUGACUUCUCUUAUCCGAAGCCAUCAAGACAUAAAGAACAAGACAUAAGCCAAUCAGAGGCCGGCUUGAAUGAGAUCGUAUAUGAUCAAGCCAACCCGAGCCGGCGUCCCAAGUGUAGCCGGACUUUGCAUGUAUUCGACCUGACCUAGCGUCACUUCGCAAACCAGGCGACCGGAGCCAGCCUGCAGGCUCGUACGAAGGACCAGGGAUCAGCCGGUACACUAUGUGUCCAUUUACAAGGGCAGGCCGUCUGAGCGGCUAGCAAGCCCCCGAGCUUGUUUAAAGCAAGCAAGGGGCCGUGAUGCGUAGCCUCCGAGCUUGAUUAAGCCAGCAAGAGGUGGUACGCGGUGUAGCCCGUACACUGAGUGAAAACUCUUAAUAAAAAGAAACAUGGAGCAUGAUCUUUUUAUCGCAUUUGUUGUUCCCGGCAAUCAGAGGCCGUCUUGAGUCUUGAAUGAGAUUGUAUAUAUUAUCGAGCCAGCCUGAGCCGGCGACCCAAGUGUAGCCGGACUUUGCAUGUAUUCGACCUGACCUGGCAUCACCUCGCGAACCGAGCGACCGGAGCCAGCCCGCAGGCUCGAGCGAGGGACCAGGGAUCAGCCGGUACACUAUGUGUCCAUUUACAAGGGUGGGCCGUCCAGGCGGCUAGCGAGCCCCCGAGCCUGUUAAAGCCAGCAAGGGGCCGCGCUGCGUAGCCUCCGAGCUUGAUUAAGCCAGGAAGAGGUGGUACGCAGUGUAGCCCGUACACUGAGUGAAAACUCUCAAUAAAAAGAAACAUGGAGCAUGCUAUUUUUAUUGCCUUUGUUGUUCCCUAAGGAGGGAGGAAGAUACAUGUGCAUGCUCUCUCCUUUGCUUGACUUCUGCCUUUUAGCAAUAGAACGGGCGAAGCAACACCGUGUUCCAUGGGUGUUCCGUUUCUUGGCCGGAGUCGUCCCUUUUGCGCUUCCUUGGCUUUUGGGCGUCAAUCAGGUAGUAAGCGUUGUUCUGCAGCGCCCUGCUGAUGAUGAAGGGUCCCUCCCAGGGGGAUGAGAGCUUGUGCUGGCCGGCAGUGCGCUGGAUUCUUCGGAGGACCAAGUCUCCCUCCCUGAAAGAGAGAGGCCUGAUCUUUUUGUUGUGGUAGUAUCUCAGCUUCUGUUGGUAGAUGGCCGUCCGGCUUAAAGCCAAGUCCCAUACUUCUUCGAGGAGAUCCACACCGUCUUCUCUAGCCUCAUUCGCCUCCGUUUCUAUGUAUAGGGUGACCCGAGGCGAGUCGAACUCGACAUCCGUGGGAAUAAUAGCCUCAGACCCAUAUACCAGAAAGAAUGGAGUGAAGCCGGUCGACCGGUUGGGCGUGCUGUGGAGGCUCUAUAGCACAACCGGCAGUUCUUCAAUCCAGCAGCCGGCUGACCUGACCAGUGGUGCCACUAGCCUUGGCUUGAUGCCGGCUAGGAUCAGGCCGUUGGCCCUCUCUGCUUGGCCGUUUGACUGAGGGUGUGCCACUGAGGCCAAGUUGAGCCGGAUGCCUACCUUGGAACAGUAGAGCGCCAGGGCGCCCUUGGCAAAGUUGGUGCCAUUGUCGGUGAUGAUGCUGUGGGGAACGCCAUAUCGGACAGAGAUGUCUGUGAUGAACCUGAUAGCAGUGGGGCCGUCAAGCUUCUUGAUAGGUCUCGCUUCGAUCCACUUGGUGAACUUGUCGACGGCUACCAAAAGAUGUGUCAUCCCUCCGCGAGCCGUCUUGAAGGGCCCAACCAUGUCCAGUCCCCAGACGGCGAAUGGCCAUGACAGGGGAAUGGUUUUGAGUGCCGAAGGCGGCAUGUGGCUCUGUGCACUGAAGCGUUGGUAGCCUUCGCAUUUGUCCACCAGAUCGACGGCCUCCUCGAGGGCCGUGGGCCAGUAGAAUCCAUGGCGGAAUGCUUUGGCCACCAGGGUUCUGGAGGCGGCGUGAUGCCCACACUCCCCCUGGUGGAUGUCUCUGAGGAUCUCCUGCCCUUUUUCUAUUUCGACGCAGCGCUGGAACAUGCCGGUCGUGCUGCAUCGCACCAGUUCGCGAUUGAUGAUGGUGUAGGCGGCGGACCUGCGCUGGAUCUGUCUCGCCUCCGCCUCGUUCUGAGGAAGCUCGCCGCGAAGAAGGAAGGCCAGAAUGGCUUGAGCCCAUGAUGGAGCCGAUAGAAGGGUCGCCUCUGCUUCGUCUUGACUGUUGGAGGCUUCCGCAUCCCCUGAGCUUGAUGGUGUCUCUGGUGCUAUUACUGCAGCCGGCUCAGUCGGCUCACCAUCUACCUCCAUGACGUCCACCCACUGGGAGGAUUCGAGCCCGGACAGAGCCGGGGUUGUUGUUGUAGUUGGUGCCGUUAUUGGAGUCGGUUGGACCAAUGGAGCUGGUAUAGGAUCCGCAGCUGGCGUAGUUGGUGGAGCCGACGGUGCUUGCACCGUGGAUUCAGUCGGUGCCGCAUUUGGAGCCGGUGCCGUCAGCGCAGCCGGUGUGGGGUCCGCAGCCAGCGUAACUGGCGGAGCCAACGACGCUUGUGAGUCAGCCGGUACGAAUAUUGAUGCCGACUCGGGAGAUGGCUUGAUAGACGGCUUAUGGAGUUGCUCGAGGGAUACGCCGACUGGAAUGGCCUGUCUUGUGGAGCCGAUUUUCGCCAGUGUAUCGGCCGCCUCAUUUUCCGCCGUGGGAACGUGGUGGAACUCACAACCCUCGAAGGGGCCGCUGAGCUGCUGGAUGAGGAAGCGGUAGCUCGCCAUGUUGGCAUCCUGGCGUCCCAUUCGCCAGAGACCUGCUGCACCACCAAGUCUGAAUCGUCGAAGCAUAUGAGCCGCCGGAUGCCGAUCUCCUUGGCAAGCCGGAGGCCAUGAGCCAGUGCUUCGUACUCGGCGACGUUGUUGGAGGCGGCGAAAUGGAUCUGGAGAGCGUACUUGAGCUGGUCCCCCUUUGGAGACGUCAAGAUGAUGCCGGCUCCCAGCCCUGUCCGCAUCUUCGAGCCGUCGAAGUGCAUCCGCCAAUGCGUGGAGUCUGGAGGCGGUGGCUCGAACUGGGUCUCGGCCCAGUCGACUAAGAAGUCGGCCACCACCUGUGAUUUGAUGGUGGUGCGAGGCUCGUACCGAAUAUCAUGGUCCGCCAUGGCGAUGGACCAUUUGGCAAUUCUGCCCGUGGCAUCACGGUUACCCAUGAUCUCUGAAAGCGGAGCAGUGCUCACCACAGUGAUGGCAUGCUCUUGGAAGUAUUGCUUCAACUUCUUUGCAGCAAGGUAAACACCAUAACACAUUUUCUGAUAAUGAGGGUAGUUCUGCUUAGAGGCGGACAAGACCUCGCUAAGGUAGUAGACAGGGCGCUGCACUGGCAGGGCCUUGCCUUCCUCUUUACGCUGAACCACCAACAUUACGCUGACCACACGAGUGGUCGCCGCGAUGUAUAUGUGUAUGGGUUCCCUUUCAGAUGGGGCUGCCAAGAUUGGCAGGCUCGAGAUUACCCGCUUGAGGUCGCGGAAGGCUUCGUCCGCCUGGUCGUUCCACUCGAACUUUGUCGUCUUCUUCAUGAGCUGGUAGAGUGGAAGGGCCUUCUCGCCAAGCCGGCUGACGAACCGACUGAGGGAUGUCAAGCAGCCGGCGAACUUUUGGACGUCGAGGAUCUGAGACGGCCGCACCAUCCGCUCGAUGGUGCUGAUCUUCUCAGGGUUCGCUUCGAUGACGCGGGAGGAAAUGAAGAACCCCAAGAGUUUGCCGCCUGGGACCCCGAAGACGCACUUCUCAGGGUUGAGCCGGAUCUUGUAUUCGCGCAGAUUGGCGAAUGUCUCCCGCAGGUCGUCGAGGAGGCUGAAGUGCUGCUUUGUCUUGACGACGAUGUCAUCCACAUAGACGUGGAUGUUCUACCAAUCUGUGGCAGUAGGCACUACUGCAUGCAGCGUUGGAAGGUCGCACCUGUGUUCUUCAGUCCGAACGUCAGGGUGGUGUAGCAGUAGGCCCGAAGGGCGUGAUGAAGGAGGUCUUCAGGCGAUCAGCUGGAUCCAGCUUGAUUUGAUGGUAGCCUGAUUAAGCAUCCAAAAACGACAGUUGUUCGCAGCCUGCAGUAGAGUCGAUCACUUGAUCUAUCCUAGGCAACGCGAAAGGGUCUUUCGGACAGGCCUUAUUCAGGCUAGUGUAGUCGAUACACAUUCGCCAUGUGUUGUUCUUCUUCAGCACCAGGACUGGGUUCGCCAGCCAGUCCGGGUGGAAAACCUCCAUGAUGAAGCCGGCUGCAAGGAGCCGGGUGAUCUCUUCUCCGAUUGUGCGCCGCUUCCCCUCGGCGAAGUGGCGCAAAGGUUGUUUCACCGGCUUUGCAUCUAGUCGCACGUGAAGUUUGUGCUCGGCAUACUUCCUUGGAACACCCGGCAUGUCCUUGGGGGACCAUGCAAAGAUGUCCCGAUUCUCACAGAGGAAGUCAACGAGCUCGCCUUCCUAUUUGGGGCUGAGGUCAGCCCCGAUGGUGACGCACUGCUUCGGGUUGGCAGGGUCGAGUGGGACCUGCUUGGUCUCUUUAGCCGGCUUGAAAGAGCCCUCGCCGGCCGAUUGGGACGGAAAAGGGAUCGUCGGCUGCUCGGUAGCCUCGGCCACGAGCCGGUCGAUCUGCCGCUUCUCCUCAGCUAUCACCAAGGCGUCAGCGAGGCGGCUGCUAUCUUGGGCACACUUGAGCGACUUCUUGUAGUCGCCAACAAUAGUGAUGAUGCCCUUGGGACCCGGCAUCUUCAUCUUUAGGUAGGCGUAGUGCGGAAUAGCCAUGAACUUGGCCAGAGCCGGUCUUCCCAGAAGCGCGUGAUACGGGCUACUGAGGUCCACUACCUCGAACCAUAUGGACUCUCGGCGGAAGUGGGCCUUGUCACCGAAGAGGACGUCCAGCUAGAUCUUGCCGAUGGGAGAGCAUGACUGCCCAGGCACGAUGCCAUGGAAGACAGUGCUAGUUGGCAGGACGUCCGUCUCCUUGAGCCCGAGCUUGAGGAGGGUGUCGAGGUAGAGGAUGUUGAUGCUGUUGCCGCCAUCGACCAGCACCCGGGAGAAUCGGCAGGUGAGCCUUUUGGAGACGAAGGUGGGGUCGAGGACGAGUGCGUAUGAUCCCGGGUUGGGCAUCACCGUAGGAUGGUCCACCCGGCUCCAUGUGAUUGGUUUGUCAGACCAAUGCAUGUAUUGGGGAACCGGGGAGACAGUGGUGUUUACCUCGCGCCGUCUUUGGCGCAGGCUGUGCUUGUCGUCGCCUUCGCUGGUAAAGACGACGAACGCUCCGUCUUGAUGAGGAUAGUCGUCGGGGUGAUGACCGUCAUCACGAGGCGGCGGUGGCAGAGGCGGAGCAUGGUUGGGAGGUGGUGCACGGGGCGCCGCCUGCGCACCCGGAGGAGCCAGCAUGCCAUCCCCUUGCGGCAGCCGGCGUGCGACGCUGCACUGUCGAAGGGUAUGGGUAGACGGCGUCGCCCUAGAAUGUAUCUUGCAGGGGGCAUCGAGCAGCUGCUCGAGGGACUGCCUGGGCAGCCAGUUGGGGUUGCUCCGGUUGGGACGCUUUCGUGGAGGGCCGGCUAGAGAAGCCGACGCCUCGCCCUCCACAUUAGCCACCAGCUUGCUGUUGGAGCGGGGAUCCAUCUGAUCCGCCUUGCGCUUGUAGUUGUUCUGGCCGCCUCGAUUGUCCCCAGCCGGCUUGGGAGUAGCCGGCAUGGGCACAACCUUGUCCGAGGCGGUUACCUUGAUGCGCAUCGCGGAGUCGGCCGUGGCGUACUUGUCUGCCUUGGCCAUGAGCACCACCAAAGAGGUGGGCUCGGCGCACAUGAGCUUGUGCUUGAGGAGGGUGCCGUCUCGGCAUCCAUCAAUGAAGUACUGGAUGGCUUGUACCUCAUGCACCCCCUCACAGGAGUUGUGGAGCUCAGUCCAUCGGGUGACGUAGUCGUGAGGGUAUGGGUGGACGAACGCCUCCUCGAAGUCCACCCAGGAGUUGACACUGCCGGCCGGGAGGCUGUUAAGCCAGGUCCGGGCCGAGCCGGCCAACAUGAGUGGCACGUAACGAACUGCUACACGCUUGUUGCCCCGGGCGAUGCCUACGGCCGUGGUGUAAUCAAUCAGCCAGUCUUCUGGCUUGGCCGUGCCGUUGUACUUCGGCGUAUCCUGAGGUAGAGUGAAACCUCGCGGAAACGGCUCCCCUCGGAUCCGAGGGCCGAAGCAUGCCGGACCGACGGGUCCGUCUUCCUCUAGGAGGGCUGACUGGGCCAGGACGAUGAGACGCCGGCGGGCGUCCCGCUCAUCCUGGGUGGCGUGGGCGCCAGCCCCGGUGGCGAGAGGGGAGGCGCCUCGUGAGCCAGAGACGUGAGUUCUUCGCGGGGGAAGAUCCCCGCACUCCGAGUCGCCUUCGUCGCCUCCGCGACGCAAGCCCGAAGUGUGCUCGCUCUGGUGCUGAGAGCGUUGGUCUUGGCUUCCCUCGCCCCUCCGGCCGGAAGUGCGAUGCGAGGAAGAUCCUUCUGCGUGGUGCUGGCCGCUAGGGUUGCGGCGUGCCCCCGAGUUCGGUCCCGGGGACUCCGAUUGAGCCUGACCGGGGUCAAGCGGAGCGUGUUGCUAGUUGGCAGCAUCAAGGAGAUCCUUGACACGCUUCUCCUGGAAGGCGCGCUCCUCGCCUUCCAGGCUUGCCAUCUCCUCCAUGGCUACCUGCGCCGCCCGCAUGUUGGCCAUAGGAGUCUCGUAGGUGGGAAGAUCACCGCCUAGAACCUCGGCGAUGAACCGGCCGCGGCUGCGGACCGAUCCAAGCCGGCUAAGGGCUUCGGAAAUUGGAGUGAGACCGUAUGCGGAGUUAUACUCGCGCUGCGUAGCCUCCAACCGAUGUUUCACCGAAGCUACGGCGAUGCCCUCCUCCAAGAUACGCUUGCAAGCCUCCUCCAGCGAGGCCCAAGUGUCUGCAGGGUCGGCGGCAGUGGUGACAGGUGUCUUCAGGCCGGCGAUGGUGUCUCGAAGAGUAUCAGCGGUGGCCGCAGCGGGCUCGCCGGCGCCUGCGAAGGCCUUGCCAGGAGCCGUGCUGGUGCCAGCACCGAUAACCAUCACCUCCACGGUGUUGGAGACGGCAGCAACGUGGUAGGGGGUGAAGAACCCCACCGACGGCGGGGGGGGGGGGGGGGGGGAAGANCCGGGGGGGGGGGGGGGGGGGGGCGUCGAAGAUGAGGACGUUGCUAGGGUAAACAUCGUGGGCACGCGUCUCAGCGAUAGAGAGCCUGCUGAAGCUGGCGCAGAGCGCCUCAACAUCGAAGUCCUCACCGAAGUAGCGCGGGCCGUCGUUGAGGCGAAGGUCGCUGAAGAGAACACUCAGGUUCUUCAUAGCAGCGACGACGACGCUAGGGAGCGCCUCGUCAUCAGAGUCUUCAUCCGAAUCCGCAUGGCGGACGGGGACGUCGAUCAUCAUGGGUGUUGCCUCGUCGAAAGCGGGCUCCACGAGCAUGCAAACUGAUCCGGACGCGAUGCAUCCGGUGGUGUAGGUGCGGGGCCCCGCCCAGCGCGUAAAGCCAGCAGAUGGCGCGAUCGGCCCCAUGGUGAGCGCCAAAUGUCGGUGAAUACUCACAACAUAUGCCAUAGGUAGGCUAAAGUCGGUGAGAACCGAAGGGACAAAGGUGGGCACUGGGAACGAGGUUGGUACACGCAUGGGACGCACGAUGUACCCAGGUUCAGGGCUCUUCGUAGAGAUAAUACCCCUAAUCCUGCCGGAGUGUUUGAUGUAUAGGAAUAGAGUACAAUGUCGCUCCUGGAGCUGUGUUGGGAGGAGGAAGAGGGGAGCAGCUGGCUCGUCUCUACCUCUCUCUAUGUGGUUGGAGAAUGCGUAGUGCAGAAUGACUGGUGAAGGACCGGCCCCUUUGCAUGGGGGGCGACCGGGGGGUUUAUAGACGAACCCGCCGGCCUACAAUAUGGAUAAAGGGUACAAGCGUGGGACCCGGCUGGCUGCUUCGCCGGCUGGCCAAGGGCCCACAAGGGUCUUGUCUUGUCGACGAGGGGCCCGCCGGCUGCAUGGUCUCGAUUGCUGGUGGGACCCGCCGGCUGGCCAAUGAGGCUCUCGCGUAAGGUUGACACUGAGCACGCGUGGUACGUCAAGCGUCGCCCCGCGAGAUUCUUCAUGGGUAGGUAGUAUGACCGCCUCCACUGUUCCCCAUGCCGAGUGCAGUAAUGGAGUGGGAGUGUGAUGGUCCGACACUAUGCUAGGUGAUGGAUCAGAGCCGGGGUAGGUCAGCGGCGUGGCCGCCGACGCUCGUACCUGCCGGACGCCCUGAUCCUGUACCUCUCCUGACGUGUAGCUACCUUUAAUCGUGAGGUCUCUUCCUGACCUACGAUCUGAUGUGACUUGUGAUCCUGAGCCGGCCAGCCUGCUUGGCCAGCCGGCUUAAGUGUGGCCGCCUCCUCCCCAGUCCGGCUGGCGGGACCAGACCGGCUCCGAAGGGGCGGCUGCCAGGACUCUAGCCGGCAGGGGUUGCCUGGCCGGCUAGAAAGGUGGCCGCCUCGUCCUCUAGCGGGCAGGUGAUGCCUAGCCGGCCAGAAGACUUGGGCUUUGGGAAUCUUCGUACGCUCAUAUCCAUUGGGCCGGAAAUGAAGGAAUAGGCUUGAUGAGCCUACCCCGGGGUUAUCCCCCCGACAUUGGUGUUCCCUUGAAGAGGAAAGGGUGAUGUAGCACAGCGGCGGCAAGUAUUUCCCUUGGUUUGAGAACCAAGGUAUCAAUCCAGUAGGAGGAUCGCGUCAAGUCACAAGUACCUGCACAAACACAAAG
rnacentral:lncRNA from 1 species